rnacentral:lncRNA from 1 species
UCGUACUAUCUUUCUCAUUUGUGAGUGAAUAAAAACCACUAGUACGUUUUUGAACCAGUUAUAAACUUUUGAAAUAUGGUGCAAAAAGGAGUAACAGAAAAACAGUGAUCAAACUUGCUUUCAAAAACAUUAUAUCGCUGUUUGAGAAACAGCUGCACUGGAUGUGUAGAUGUCAUAGUAGUAGUACAAGAUUUAUGACGCUUUUGAAGUGGGGGAAGAACGCAACUGCGCUCGUCAAUGGAUCAUCACGUACCGAUCCUACGGAACAAUACAAACUGUAACCAAUUAACUAGUCCGUAUCUGCAAACACACAGCGAAUCAGCUUAACGAAAAAUCCUGCAUCGAUGAUCAAUCGAUCGAAUUGACAAGAGCAAUCAUGAUGCACAACACGCAAAUCAAGCGCCGCAUCUUCCCCCAAACGCGUCCCCCCCGCACAUCAAAGGGCUCCGAAUCCCUGACGAUCGAGAGCCGCACGGAUGGCCAGGAUCGAUGGAGCGAAGCGGCGGCGGACGCUCAUGAGCAAAAUAACCAAAUGCAGCCGGAAUCGGAGCGCGCGUACGUACCAGGAGCGGCUAGGACGAGGAGGGAAGGCACAAACAAUCAAGCGAAGUCCGCAGUCGGGCGGGCGGUGGAUCGACGCGGCGGCGCGCAGCGACAAUACCCAGCCUCCACCGCGAGCGACGCGCCGGCGGGCGGGGAAACCCUAGGCGUCGGCGGCCGGAGGGGACGGCGGCGAGCGGGUCGUCGUGGCUCUCUCUCUCUCUCUCCUCUCCGCCGGUGACGCCGGCAUUUAUAGGCGAGCAAAUCGACGAGAGGAGGCGAGCUCAAGAGGGAGGAGGAGAAGAAGGGAGUCGGUGUGAGACUCUUCAGCGUGUGACUGACAUGUGGGUCCGGCAGAAGGGGGGUUGGAGUGGGGCCCACUUGGCAGCCUGCGUUGCCGUGCGGACACGUAGCGAGGUGAUGGGGGGAGGCGAGGGUGGCGCCGCGCCUCACGUCUCGCUUUCUCGGGCGAUUCGAAAAUUGAAACCGGGGAGAAUCGUGGCCGUCCGUUUGAUCGAUCGGUCAGGAUUCGUCCAGGCCCAAUGGGCUACGGCUAGCUUUCUCUCUGGGCCUCCUCCCCUCGCACCUCCUCGAAGCCUCGACUGCUCCACGGCCGCCGCCGCCGCCGCCGCCGAUCUCUGCUCCGGUGAGCGAUGCCGAGGCUUCUCCUUCGCCGUCUCUGCGUACGCCACCGCCGCCGCCCAAAACCCCAAGCCCUCGCCGCCGCCGUCUCCAACGGGACCACCUCCGGUACGCGCCCUCCUCCAUGCCGCCGCCGGUGGUUUUGGUUUCACCUCUCUUUCCUAAUCCCUUCGCUUCUCCGUCUCUCUAUGCGCAGCCAUUGCGGAGGAGCUCACCGACGACCUCCUCGUCGAGAUCCUCUCGCGCGUGCCCUACAAGUCGCUCUGCCGCCUCAAGUGCGUCUCCAUGCGGUGGCGCCGCGUCAUCUCCCACCCCGACCACCGCCGCCAGCUCCCGCGGCAUCACCUCCAGCCCCUCGCCGGCUUCCUCUACGCCGACUACCGCGUACUAAACCGUUUCCAGAUCGUCCCGGCGCUGGAUCCCCCUCCCCUCAUCGAUCCCUCGUUUUCCUUCCUGCCCAAGUGUGAUGAUCUCCAGCUGGUGGACAGCUGCAAUGGCCUCCUCCUCUGCCGCUGCUGGAAUCAGCUCAACGAACACAGGACAUUCAACUACGUGGUGUGCAGUCCUACCGCGAAGAAAUUUGUCGUCUUCCCGGACUCCACCUGCUCCAAGAAGGUCCGGCCGUUUUUGGGGUUUGAUCCGGCUGUCUCGUCUCACUUCCAUGUGUUCGAGGUUGUGGAGGAUUGGGAUUAUUAUGAUUGUGAUGACGAUGAUCUGGAAUGUGAUGGCGUCGAAGAUGUUGUCGGAUUGAGGAUCUACUCGUCCGAAACUGGAGUGUGGAGUGAUGAGAUUGAUAAUGGAUGGAGCAACAGAAUCAGGAUUCGGCGUGAUCAAAAGGGUGGUUCCAAGAGUGUUUUCUUCAAUGGAAUGCUGCAUUUGGUCGCCAUACAGCCUGUGGUGGCUGUGGUGGAUGUGGAGGGGAAGAAUUGGAGAACCAUCCCUCUGGCACACAAGGAUGGUUCUCCUUUGUGUGGUGCUCAUCCUCCUUGUGCUUCUGGUCCAGAGGGAUUCAUUGCUCUGUCCCGGGACCUGCUGCACUUUGCAAGUACUGACAGCUAUGGUGACUGGGAAAUAUCAGUGUGGGUUCUUGAUGAUUACUACGGCGGACAAUGGACCUUGCAACACACGGUCAGCACUAUGCGUCCAUUUGAGCGGACGAUGAGGAGGAGGAUGAACCCUGAUGACUGCACUCUUGUCUGGAUCGAAGGACGUAAGAUGUUUUUCAUGUUUUAUGACUAUGUUCAUUGUAUACUCACGUCAUAUGAAAUGGACAGUGGGGAAGUACGAUGUCUAAGUCGUCCUCGGAGUUAUUGCGAGCCACCAUAUCUUCCAUAUAUUCCCUUGUUCUUGGAAUCAUUAGCAGAUGGGCCCUAAUAAUCUACCGUACUGGAUGGCAGCUCUACCUGUGUCAAUCUUUUCCGAUGAUAUGGGAACUAGAUCACCAAUUGCUACGAGGAUUGAGCCACUUGGACUGCCACAGCAUUGUCUUAUCCAUCAAUAGCAUGAUAUAUAUGCUUUUCUUUGUUUCUGAGAUUGACACAUUUCUAAUGCUUUGUGAAACAGUACUAUGUUCUUAAGUUGGAUGGAGUAUCAAUAUCAAAGUUCGGUGUGGUAAAAAAGGUUCUUGCUUCAUGUUACUUUUGGUUGUGCUUGAUUUCACUCCUGUAACCUGACUUUAUGGUGCUAGUUAUAUGUGUGUACUCAGUGACUGCCAUUUUCGGUCUAACUUUAUGCCAGUAUAGCUGUAUGUGUUUAUUUCUAGUCACUGUAAGUUUUGUCGUCAGACCUGAUACCUGUUUGCACAUCACAAUGGAUGUCUAUAUUGUUCCUUCCCUUACCUUAUUUCUGGUUUUCGAGUUUAUUUGAAUUUCAACAAUGCUAGAAAUCUGAUUACUUCUGUUUGAUCUUUGUGAGAUGGGAAUUUAUGCAUCUUUUAUCGGUACUGUCAACAAGGAAAUGAUCUGUUAUAGUGAAGAGUGGCCACAUUUUAUUUUAGUUGGGAGUUUAUGCAUCCAAUCCGAAGCCACUCCUUCAGCAUUUUCAGAAUCCAGAGAAGUCGUUAGCAAACUUUGAAGCUGAGGUUGGGUGGCAUCAAAUUCAGCCGUAAAAAUUUUUGGCAUUGGGAUAGAAACCAAUUGCGGCUUCUGCGCCACUCGCGCUGAUUCGGGACAGAAGUUUCAGACACUGAAAGAUCUGAAUGACUGCACUAAACUCCACCCACCAUUAGCUAAUUUUAUUCUGGUGAGGUAAAUACAUUCGUUUACACCUGAAUAAAGAUCGAAGCUUAUCUCUGCUGAUUGAACUUUGCAUUCUGGAUCGAUCACCCAUGGAAACUUGAGAAUUGCACACCAGCGCGGAAUAAAUCCCCUCCAAUCCCUCCCUCACAGGGAUUAACCGAACAAGCCCUGAGGCCUUGUUCGUUUAAUCCCCAAGAGAGAGGGAAUGGAGGGGAUUGAGGGGGAAUAAUUACACACCAGGUGUGGAACAAAUCCGCUCCAAAUCUCUCCCAAUCCCCUCGUGGAAGGGAUUAACCGUAUAUCCAACCUAUAAGGAAGGGAGCCAAGGUCGACUUUUUCCAAGGCAAAGUAUGCAGAAACGAGACAACUUCGUUCCAGACUUCCAGGCCCAUAAAACAAAACCGGACCAAGGCCCAAAUUCUACCGCAUCGUGGCCCUCUUCGAGCAGCUCGUCGCUCCUUCUUCCUUCCCGCAACCCAGAAACCCUCGCCUCGCCUCGCCGCCGUCGACUCGACUCGAACCGGAGCGCCGGAUCCAGCCCGCCGCCGUCCCUAGCUCCGCCGCCGCCGCCGCACUGUGGAUUGGUUGAGGCGGAUUCCAGGGAUGGGCGCAGGGGGUGGAUCCCGGCGCCGGCGGAGAAGCUCACCGACGACCUCCUCGUAGAGAUCCUCUCGCGCGUGCCCUACAAGUCGCUCUGCCGAUCCAAGUGCGUCUCCACGCGGUGGCGCCGCGUCAUCUCCCACCCCGACCAACGGCGCCGACUGCCGCGGUAUCACCUCGGCAACGACAUUGUCGGCUACUUCUACAAGUCCAACACCUUCACCAACGUCACAGGGGAAGGCCGCCCUUUUGUUGACCCCUCGCUCCCCUUCCUGCCCAAGUGCGAGUUUCUCAACGUCGUCGAUAGCUGCAAUGGCCUCCUCCUGUGUCGCUGCUGGAGGCUCGCAGAUCCACGGAGAUUUGAUUACCUAGUGGUUAAUCCUGCCACUGAACAUUGGGUCAUCCUGCCUGAUUCCGGCUGGUCUGACAAGGUGCAGACUGCUCGCUUGGGGUUCGAUCCAACGGUCUCCUCCUCGCACUUUCAUGUGUUUGAGUUUGUGGAGGACGGCGCUGCGGAUGUCGAUGGGAAUGUUGAUCGUGACGACUAUGAUGGGCAUGUCAAAGGGGUGGAAAUCUACUCAUCUGUAACUGGAGAAUGGAGUCACAAGGACAAUGGUUGGAACUGGGAAAUCAGGUUACGCGAUGAAUCGAAUAGUGUGUUUUUUGAUGGCGUGCUGCAUUUGAUCACUAUUGAGGAUGUGGUGGCAGCGGUCGAUGUGGAGGGGAAUACUUGGAGGAUCAUUCCUAUGCCUCAAAGUCUAGUUGAGCCUUUCAAUGGUAUUGGUGAGGGAUUCAUUGUCCUGUCUCAGGGUUCUCUGUAUUUUGUAAACAGCGAUCACGAUAAACCAUAUAAAGUAUCAGUAUGGGUUCUUGAGGACUACAGCAGUGAACAGUGGAUCUGGAAGCACACUGUCAGCCAUUUACAUCUAUUUCAAACCAAGAGACUCCUUUUUGGACAUGACUACAAAGUUGUCUCAAUUCAUCCGGAACGGAAUAACAUUUUCUUGGUUUGGCCGCAUAGCAAAAUGCUCAUGUCCUAUGAAUUGGAUAGCAGAGAAGUGCAUUUUAUAUGUGGCAUCGGAGGUUGUGAGUGGGUGAUGUACUAUCUUCCUUACGUUCCCUUGUACUUAGAAUCACUGGCAGAUGGGCAUUGAUCAUCGUACUUGCAUAGGCGAACGCUUGGUUUGUUAACCUUAAAUUAUGACAUUGGAGUUAGGACACCGAUAAGAUCAGCAGGAACUUGGCAGAUCUUUCUGAUGUUGUGCUACAUUGUUGUAGGUGGUUGAGUGCGUUCUGCAACCUCACUUUCUGGGGCCAACUUUUCAGUAACUUGGAACUUAAUUCGGAUUUUGUAAUAGUGAUGUUGUAUUUGAUUGUUUGCGAUGUUGAAAACCCUCUAGCACUUAUUUAUGCCAAUAUUUGUUGAGAUUUCAUAUUACGUUAUUUACUAUUUUUUUUCCAUUGGAUCCCCUCCCCUGGUUAUGCAUAGUACAACUAUUUUGUUCUGCUUUGCAUGGGAAUUUAUAUUAGUUCUGCUUUGCAUGGGAGUUUAUAUUAAUUCGUCAUUGCUGAAAUAAUAUGUACUAGUUGAGGAAGGGUACUCUUUUUAUCAGAUUGUCUAGAAUAUGUAGUAUCAAAAGUUUGAAAAACUAUGUUGGUUCCAAUAUUUGAUGUAUUGAAUACUGACUCACAUGAAAGAUAUUACCACAAUCGUAGAACAUGUUGGGAGCAUACUUGUCUAUAACUAAUUAUUCUUUUUCGUCACACACAAGUUGGCAUUACUGUAUUUCCCAUAUGCAUAUUUUAGCUUCAAUGUAAUGUUUCAUGUGAUAGCUGCUGAAAUCAUGUCAGUGGCGAUGGUGGCGGUCUGAGUUGAUAUUUUAUUUUUCUCGGUGGAUCUGAAUUUUUUGGCGUUGACCAGAAGCUGAUUAUGUGGUUUCAUUGGUCGAAAUCGGUAAGCUCUACGGACUCUUAAACUACUAUAAGUUAUUUAGAUAAUCAUGAAAAUAUACAUGUCUGGUACAAUAUAUGUAAACAAAAUCAGGUAGUCAAUUUGCUAUUAUUUUUUUUAAGGUGAUACACUGAAGCACGUCACUUACACAUUGAGGCAUACUGCUCUCACAUUCAUUCUCUUGGUACGUUAAUAGCUCUACUAAGAAAUGCUCGUAUUUAUCCUGUACAUGCAUUUAUUUAUGUAAGCAAUCAAGGUUACCAUUGUAUGUGUUAACUGAAACAUUUGGUAGGAUUAUAUCGUAUGCCAUAGGUUGAUGCUCGUUCCAUGAUUCCAUCUUGACCCACAACAUGCUUUUGCCAUUGCUUUCGGCAAGUGUUUGGCAAUCCAUAUAAGUUUUUUUGACAUACUGUUUGCUUCAAAGUACGCGGUUAACAUUGACUUCUUAGCACCAUCCCGGUCAAGUACUCCUUGAAUGCCUGCUGUGCUCUAUAAAAAAAAGCACUCCCUGAAUGUCUUGUUUGCCUCGAUAUGCAACAUGUAUUUUGAUGCAGCUCGAACUUAUGUUUGUUGAUAAUUGUCGUUGAUGGAGCUGCUCCUGGCAAGGUGGCCUUUUAAGCGACGGAGUAUAACUGUGAAUUUUUUUUUAUCAAACCACAAGAACUGAUUUGGUUUCUGUACCAGUUUUGUACAUAAAACGUUUUUGGCGGCAGAAUAGAACUGUUUAAUCACACCACAAGAACGGAUUUUGUUUGUGGUACCAAUUUUGUAUAUAAAACAUAUUUUGGUUGUAUAUAUAUAGGAUAUAAUGUAUGCAACAUUCUUGUGGUGUUCGGAUUGGAUGUAAUAUGGGGUGUUCUUGUGGUGUUGUGAUUAGGAUUUGAGCUGAGUGGGCCUGAUCUGAGCGUAGUAGGCCAUAACUGAUCUAGAAAGGGAAUUGGAAAUUGUGGAGCGAUUUGCGCGAUCUGGGAGGAAUCGGACCAAAGAAAUCGCGCGCACUACACGGGGAGGGAAUCGGACUUUUUUUGCCACUUUUUUCCGCCCUUUUUACCAUAUGGGCUUCUUUUUUCCGCUCUUUUUUUUAUUUUAGACAGAUGACAGAAACCUUAUGAAUUUUUUAAGUAGUAGAGAUUUAAUAUUAAAAAUAAACCAUUCAAAAAUUUAUUUUCAAUGUCUAAAAUUUUUGGUCACACCAGUCGAACUGGCGUGACAACUUUAUUUGGCUACGCUGGUCUCGCUAGCGUGGCAGUAUUAUUUAGCUACGCGGUCCUAGAUGGCGUGGUAAAAUAAUACUGUGGCGCCUGCUAUAAGUGACGUGUAAGUGUUGUUUUGUUAUGUUAGGCAUGUUGGUAUAGUUAAACGGUUUAGAUUUUGAAAAUAAAUUUUAGAAGGGUUUUUAAAAUUAAAAAGUAAAAAGGUUCAAAAAGAAUAAUAAAAAAUUCCCUCGUCCAUGUAGACAACCACCCCGAUCUCUUGAAAUGUGCUGCCCGAAGUCUUCUCCGCCUCCUUCCACAGCUUCGGAUCCUGCAUAUAGUGGUAGGGCGUGGGCGCGUGGCUAAUGAGCGAUCGAUCCCCAUGCCCCCUUAUACACUCCUCUCUCCCGUCCUUUCCUCCUUCUUCUCUUUCUACUACACCAUAAAUUUUUUUAAAAAAAAAAUAAAGUUGGAAAAAUUAAUGUAUAGAAAUACUAUAUAUAAAAAAUAUUUGAAUUCAAAAUCAAAUUUGAAACGAUUAUGUAAACUUUUGACUUAUAAACUUUGGGUCUAUAAAUUAAUAUUUAAAUUCAAAUUUAAAUUUGAAUCGGGUAUGUAAACUUUUGACUUAUAAACUUUAGGUUUAUAAACUUUAGGUGUAUAGAAUACUAUAUAUGGAAAAUAUUUUAAUUCAAAUUUAAAUCUGAAUCAGAUAUAAUUCAAAUUCAAAUUUGAAUCGGGUAUGUAAACUUUUGACUUAUAAACUUUGGUUAUAUAAACUUUAGGUGUAUAGAAAUACUAUAUAUACAAAAUAUUUGAAUUCAAAUUCAAAUUUGAAUCGAAUAUAAUUCAAAUUCAAAUUUGAAUCGGAUAUCUAAACUUUUGACUUAUAAACUUUGAGUCUAUAUACUUUAGGUGUAUAAACUUUAGAUGUAUAGAAAUAUUAUAUAUAAAAAAUAUUUGAAUUCAAAUUUAAAUUUGAAUCGGAUAUAUAAACUUUUGAUUUAUAAACUUUGGGUCUCUAAACUUUAGAUGUGUAAACUUGAGGUAUAUAAAUUUUAGAUGCAUAAAUUUACUAAAAUAGAAAAGUAAUGCGGUGAAAAAAAAAAACCAGGUGGAGGAGAGGGGGGCGACCCGAUCGCCCCUAGCGAGCGAUCGCCCAGUUUCGUUAGGGGUAGCCAGGUUGGCUGGUACCAUCGCUGCAUCGGUGAUCGGCCAAAACCAGUGAACAACUAGAUUGCUUCCCUAGCCAGCACUGCAUUUUUCCGAUUCGUCUUGAUUCUUUUGGUCCUGAGUUUGCCUUUGUCGAGAAGUGAGACUAAGAGAGAUAUCUCUAACUUCCUCCGUCCCAAAAUAAGUGCAAUUUUGUACUGUUUACGUCCAACAUUUGACCAUUCGUUUUAUUUAAAAAGGUUUUAUGAUUAGUAUUUUUAAAUUUAUUAGAUGAUAAAACAUGAAUAGUAAUACUAUUUUUUUCGGGAAUGCUAGGGGACGGGAUACCGUCCCCCAAACGGGAUAGCUCCUCCUCCACAACACGAUUCCUGCUCACUCGCUGCCAUCGCCGUCCCCCGCCACUGCCGCGCCCGUCCCUGGUCGUCUUCGCCGUCGCCGCCACCGCCGCGCCCAUCCCCCACCGCCACCGCGCCCAUCCCCCGUCGACGCCGCCGCGCCCAUCCCCCACCGCCACCGCGCCCAUCCCCCGUCGACGCCGCCGCGCCCAUCCCCCACUGCCGCCGUUGCUGUCCCCCGCCGCCGUGUCCGUCACCCGCUACCGCCGCCGUUGCCACGCCCAUCCCCUGCCGUCGCCGUCGCCGUCCUCAUCUACAAGGGACGGCUGCAGGGGGCCAACCGCGCGUGUCGAGGUGCUCCUCCCCCAACGGGAUGCCCAGCUAUAUCUAGUAGGAAUCACCUGAUACCUGGUAGGUAUCAUCCGAUACCUCGCAAGUAUUACGCGAUAUAUGGUAGAAAUCAUUUGAUACCCGAUAAGUAUCACAUGAUACCUCGCGAGUAUCACACGAGGUAGUACUUCAAAUCCUUGAUUUGUUGGGUUGAUUUGAUCGAUUUCUUUGGUUUUUGCGGUGCCCUUGAUUUCUUGGGCUGUUAUGGUGACGUAGACUUGUACUAGUUGAUUAUUGAUUUUCCAUCUCCAUUAGAUUUUGCUCUCUUUAUUAGCUAAUCCACCAUCGACAGACCUCAGGUCGGCGCUCGCCGGUGGUGGAAACAGGCCUCAGGGUGUCGGUGCCCGCCGUGGCGCACCGGUGCUCUUCAUAUGUUCUGCUCCCCCGGACCAUCGCCAUAUGGUCCCCGUGUUUUUUUUUCCUAUCACUUGCACAUGGGUCCCGAAGAUAUUUCUUUUGUUUUUUCGAUAUAACUGUCAAGUAGAUAUCACGUCUGCACAUAUGAGACUAAGUUAAUGUCACGUCAACGAAAACCGUUCUCCAAAAAAGGAAGUAAUUUUGUAUGGUUAUGUUCUCAAAACAAUAAUGGGAGUACUUAGAGGACUCGGCAUAUUCGAUAUUCGGUUUUGCGUUUGCGGUUAUGGCUUUCACAGUGCACACACAUGGCGUGUGGCAAAGUCUAUCCACAUAAGCACAAUGCCUGCGUUGAGGAGAGGAGGUGGGGCCCACGUUUUCAGCAGGUUCGCAUAGCUUGUUUUGGCUCCGAGAACCUCAACGAAAUUUGUCAGAGAAAAAAAGCAUGCCACACACAGAGCAGGAGAGAGAGAGAGGGAAAAAGCUCGCCGGAGAAGCCACUUCCGCGCCAGAGAGAGACGAGUAGGGGCGCAGCCGCCGCCGCCUCCGUCGUCUGUGGCUCCGUUCCAACGCCCCGCCGUCAUCCACAGCGCCGCGGCCAUGAGAUCCGCCGCGCCGCUCGACACCGACGCCGACGCUGUCGUCCGCAGCGCCGCAGCCAUCCGCAGCGCCGCUCGGCGCCACGGCCGUCUUCAGCCGUCGCCGUCGCUAGGCCCCACCACCGUCGCCACUCCGCCCGCUAGGCCCGGCGGCCAGCACCGUCUCCGCCCAAGCUUCUGUGGUGGGGAAAACUGGGAAGGGAAUGGAGGAGGGGGAGAGCGAAAAAAGUAUAUAGGUAAUUAUAUAUACGUUACUAGCUGUCUAAAAGACAAUAGUACUAAAAAAAUAGAAUAUGAUGAUAAACCCUAAAAUCAACUUCAAAAUUAAGUUUCAAAAUUCAAAUUUGAUUGUGAUAAGCUAACAAGUAGACGAUAAAAUAUAAUUUACACGUGUUUCAGACCAAAUAUUGAUCAUAAAAAUGCUGCUAAAAAAUAUGCUUUUCAAAAAAGUCAGUACAAAUAUGACUUAGAGAAUGUACCACUUAUCACUUUACGCUGUAAACGUUUCAUAGGGACGAGGCUUCCCUAACUUUAUGCAGUUUGCAGUCGUGCCACUGACAUAAGGGCCAUAGUAAAGUAAAGCCCAUAUAUUAGUAACUCAAGUGCAAACUGUUUUAGUCAGAGGAUCCACUUCCCUUUCAUAGAUACGCCACUGAGAUUAAGUAAACACAUAUGCACUCUUUUCUCCCUUCGUAGUACAAUCGUACCUCCUGUUCACGUAUUUUUGUCAUUUUGAGUAUGCGCCAUUAUCAAACUUAACAAAUAACAUUUCGACUAUGAUUUUAUCCACUAUUCAAGCAGAGGUAAUUAUGCUCCAACAGGUCUAUUUUCAAUAAUUCAUGGUCCAUGGACUGCAGAAGUUAUGGAAGUUAACAUGCCUAGAGUCAUUGUAUAUCUUGAAUUUGGUGCGAGGUAGCUUUUCCUAAAAAAGGAAGGGUGCUUGUGAAGUUAAGAGAGGGCGGGGGGGGGGGGGGGGGGGGGGGCUACUAUAAUUUCCAUAAUUGCAGCACUAGUGCAGUGCAGCAUGCAGACAUUUAUGAUCAAAGUGGAAGAAAUAAAAUAGCAAGAGAUCAAACAAAAAAAAAGCAGGUUGAUGAAAUGAUCAAUCAAUAUUUGUUCCAUCAUUAACCACCAAGUCAAGACGAUAUACAGCAACUCUAGGCAUCUAAAAUAUCAAAAACUUACAGUAAAACGACUAUAAUCGAACACAAACAAAACAAUUUCAGUAGUCUCCACUGUCCAGAAGACACAUUGUUCAACACACCCAGGAGACAAAAGUUAGGCAGUCAGCCAUAGCCAUUGAGUUCCACUGACAUGAUUUCAGCAGCUACCACAUAAAACAUUACAUUGAAGCUAAAAUAUGCUUAUGGGAAAUACAGUAAUGCCAAUUUGUGUGUGACGAAAAAGAAUAAUUAGUUAUAGACGAGUAUGCUCUCAACAUGUUCUACGAUUGUGGUAAUAUCUUUUAUACGAGCCAGUAUCCGAUACAUCAAAUAUUCUAGACAAUCUAAUAAAAAGAGUACCCUUCCUCAACUAGUACAUAUCAUUUCAGCACUGACGAACUAAUAUAAACUCCCAUGCAAAACAGAACUAAUACAAACUCCCAUGUAAAGUGAACAAAAUAGCUGUACUAUGCAUGACCAGGGGAGGGGAUCCAAUGGGAGAAAAACAGUAAACAAUGUAAUAUGAAGUCUCAACAAAUAUUGACAUAAAUAAGCAUUACCUGAUGAGGAAAUAAUGUAAUAUGAAAUCUCAACAAAUAUUGAGAGAAAUAAGCUUUUCCUGAUGAGGAAAUAAGCAACAACAUAAACUGAUAUUAGUCAUGCAUAACUCACCAGAAUAUAUGUUUAUAGGAUAUAGCAUCCAUUGUUAAAUGAUAAAUGCUAGAGGGUUUUUGACACCGCAAACAAUCAAAUACAAAUCAUUAUUACAAAAUCCGAAUAAAGUUCUAAGUUACUGAAAAGUUGGCCCAGAAAGUGCGGUUGCAGAAUGCACUCAACAACCUACAACAAUGUAGCACAACAUCAGAAAGAUCUACCAAGUUGCUGCUGAUCUUAUCAACAUCCUAACACCAAUGUCAUAAUUAAGGUUAACAAACCAAGUGUUCACCUAUGCAAGUACGAUGAUCAAUGCCCAUCUGCCAAUGAUUCUGAGUACAAGGGAACAUAUGGAAGAUACAGAAGCCAGUCGGAACUACCUCCAAUCCCACAUAUAAAACACACUUCUCUGCUCUCCAUUUCAUAGGACAUGAGUAUUUUGCUAUGCGGCAAAACCAAGAAAAUGAUAUUCCCUUCCGGAUGAAUUGAGACAACUUUGUAGUCAUGACCAAAAAGGAGUCUCUUGGUUCGAAAUAGAUGUAAAUGGCUGACAGUGUGCUUCCAGAUCCACUGUUCACUGCUGUAGUCCUCAAGAACCCAUACUGAUACUUUAUAUGGUUCAUCGUGAUCGGUGUUUACAAAAUACAGAGAACCCUGAGACAGGCCAAUGAAUCCCUCACCAAUACCAUCGAAAGGCUCAACUAGACUUUGUGGCAUAGGAAUGGUCCUCCAAGCGUUCCCCUCCACGUCAACCGCUGCCACCACAUACUCCAGAGUGAUCAAAUGCAGCACACCAUCAAAAAACACGCUAUUCCAUUCAUCGCGUAUCCUGAUUUCCCAGUCCCAACCAUUGUCCUUGUGACUCCAUUCUCCAGUUACGGAUGAGUAGAUUUCCACCCCUUUGACAUGCCCAUCAAAGUCGUCGUCAUCAUCGACAUUCCCAUCGGCAUCCCCAGCACCAUCCUCCACGAACUCAAACACAUGAAAGUGCGAGGAGGAGACCACUGGAUCGAACCCCAAACGAGCAGUCUGCACCUUGUCAGACCAGCCGGAAUCAGGCAGGAUGACCCAUUGUUCAGUGGCAGGAUUAACCACAAGGUAAUCAAAUCUCCGUGGAUCUGCGAGCCUCCAGCAGCGGCACAGGAGGAGGCCAUUGCAGCUGUCAAGGACGUUGAGAAACUCGCACUUGGGCAGGAAGGGGAGCGAGGGGUCAACAAACGGGCGGCCUUCCCCUGUGACGUUGGUGAAGGUGUCGGAGUAGAAGAAGCCGACAAUGGCGUCGCCGAGGUGAUACCGCGGCAGCAGGUGACGGUGGUCGGGGUGGGAGAUGACGCGGCGCCACCGCCUGGAGACGCACUUGGAUCGGCAGAGCGACUUGUAGGGCACGCGCGAGAGGAUCUCGACGAGGAGGUCGUCGGUGAGCUUCUCCGCCGGCGGCGGGAUCCACCCCCUGCGCCCAUCCCUGGAAUCCCCCUCCGCCAUGGCUGCGCGAGCGACAGAGAUAGAGAGAUCAGGGAUGCAAAAGGAUUAGGAAAUGGAGGUGAAACCAAUCCACAGUGCGGCGGCUUUAGAAAUGCGCGUACCGGAGGAGGAGGAGGCGGGCGGAGCUAGGGACGGCAGCGGUCUGGAUCCGGCGCUCCGGUACGAGUCGAGUCGACGGCGGCGAGGCGAGGGUUUCUGGUUGCGGCGACGCCGCCGUGCGCUUCGAUCACGCGGGGAAGGAAAGAGAGGCGAAGUGGGCCACGAUGCGGUAGAAUUUGAGCCUUGGGCUGGUUUUGUUUUAUGGGCCUGGAAUGAAGUUGUCUCGUUUCUGCAUUCUUGCCUUGGAAAAAAAGUCUGAUUUAGCUCCCUUACUUCAUAAGUCGCGUGUUUGGUUUCCCGGCUCGUACCUGGCUCGCAUCUCGGAUGAGCAGGAACGGCCGAAUCUAGCUUCGCUGCUCGUCCUGGCUCCACGCAUAUGCAACCGCGCUGCAGCCGCGCGUGCAAGCGCCGCACCCGCGCAUGCAGGGAGAGGCGAUGGGGGUCACCAACGGGGAUUUGGAUCCUCUACCUUCACGGCUUGAAGGCACGAGCGUGCAGUCGGCACCUCAUCCACCGUUCAAAUAAUCCAAUGGCUCACGUCGCCUGUGCACGUAUGAAUGGAUAUCUGUCUGUCAAAGCCCACGAAGCACUACUGCUAUAUUUCAGUCCGAAUACCAAUGAUGUUUGCAUUAUAAAUUUCGUAAUUUUUCUUAUCAAUCCUAUGCUCUAAUCAUAAUUUUUCUUUUGCUUUUAUGAUGUGACUUGACAUUGCGUCAUACUCCCUCCAUUAGUUCCCAAAAUAAAAACUUAUCAUGUGGAAAAAAACUAAUUACACAGUGUGCGUGUAAAUUGCGAGAUGAAUCUUUUAAACCUAAUUGCACCAUGAUUUAACAAUGUGGUGCUACAGUAAAUGUUUACUAAUGACGAAUUAAUUAGGCUUAAUAAAUUUGUCUUGCAGUUUUCUAGCGAAAUCUGUAAUUUGUUUUGUUAUUAGACUACGUUUAGUAUUUCAAAUGUGUGUCCGUAUAUCCGAUGUGAUAACCAAACCCAAAAUUUUUCUCUAACUAAACAAGGCCUAAGUCGCUUGACUUUUUUUUCUAGUCAAACUUCUUUUUUUUUUUACUUUUUAACACAAAACAAAUAUAUUAUAAAAAUAUAUUCAACGUUAGAUUUAAUAAAGCUAAUUUGAUAUUUUAUAUAUUACUAUUUUUUAUAUAAAUUAGUCAAACUUAAGGAUUUUUGACUAAAAAAAAAUCAAAUGACUUAUAAUAUAAAAAAAGAUGGAGAACUACUUUGUAAUGAAUUAGUGUUGUUAUUUGAAACUUUCGGUUUUCUUGUAUUUUUAAUUUGGUGAUAUCAUCCAUUUUUUUUCAUGUGUAUUAGCAUUAAUAUAGUUUGUAAGUUUCUUCAGCUCGCGUACACUUCCCAGACCAAAACAACCAUCGUGGGAUUUUUUUUCGAUAGAACCAUCGUGGUCUUUCACAGACAAAUUUAUCCAAAUCCCACCAACGGAGGGUGCUGAUCGGCGACGCGCGGCCGCGCACGCGUGUGAUCAGCGCCCCCCCCCCCUCUAGUCUCUACUCUCUACUCCUAUACAGGAGUACUAUCUAUAUACGCAUACGUAUAAACUUUGUAUUUAUGUAUAAACUUUGUAUUUAUGUAUACAAAGUUUAUAUGUAUGUAUAUAUAGUAUAUAUACACGCGUAUAUAUAUACACACUUUAUUGUAUAAAAAAUAUACACACGUAUAUAAAGUUUGUGUGCGUAUGUAUAAAAAACACAAAAAAAUAUACGUAUACAAACUUUCUAUACAUCUAUACCAAAUUUAUGUACAUACGUAUAAAACUAAAAAAAAACACAUACAAACCUUAUAUAUGCGAAUGCAAACUUUACAUACGCGUAUACGCGUAUGUAAAUUCUAUAUACGUGUAUACAAAGUUUGUAUUUAUACAUAUAAAACGUAUUUGAAAAAAACUAAUAAUGACGCGGAAAGAAAAAACAGAAAAGCAAAAAAAAAAAGAAGCCGUAAACUACGGAAAGAAAAAACGAAAAUCGCAAACUAGUGAACUACAUCUACGGAAAAAAAAAACCAGAAAAAAAAGAGAAGGAAAUCGCUCAGAAAAAAAAUCACGCGCCGUCCGCCGCCCCCUCUCCACGCGCAACAGGCGUCCAGUCAUGCGGAGAGGGCGCGCGCGACUGGUCGCGGAGGAUUAGCUUUCUCGGUCACGAACACCACCCUGUCUCCCUCCUCAUUUCUUCCGUCUUCUCCUCUCUUCGCUAUCGCCGGCCACAGCCACCAGUUGUGACCAUCUCCAUCUCUAUCAGCCAGAUCUAGCUGCAAUAUCAAUUCUUUAUAUAUUCUGCUUAAAUCUGGUACAAUAUACCGUAAAUAAAUAGCUUUUAGAUGAUAAGAAUUUUCACUCUCAGGGAAAGAAAGUACUCCUACCUACUUUCCCUACAACCAACCAAACAAAAUCUCUCCCAAACUAUAUUUUUGAUGCAAGCAACCAAAUAAAAUCUCACGCUAACCCGGCUAAACCAAUACAACCAACCAAACAGCUGCAUAUGUAUCUACUUAACCAUGUCAAACUCAGCCUGAAUGAGGGAGAUAGGCUAGGCUAAGAAGAUGCGAGCAACCAAACACACCCAACGGGACUUACAAUGCGUCAUCAAGUUUUGGUGGACCUCACAUGCCACCUAGACAAAGAACAAUAUUAGCCACAUGUUUUACAGUGCAAGUUGCUUAUAGUGGAUUCUACAGUACACUUUGCUUCUACUUUUUACUUUCCCUUUUUUUUUCACGGCCAUAGCUCCAACAACCUGAAUGAGAUACAGCCAAAUUAAUGAAAGAAAUGAUACUAGUUUGUGAUGCCAUCGAAUCAGGUUGGACACCAUCUUGCUGGCUUUUAUAGGCUUUCAGUUUCCCCACAAAAACUUUUCACCAUGUCACAUCAAAUGUUUGGACACAUAUAUGAAGUACUAAAUAUAGAAAAAAAAUUAUUUACAUAGAUUGCGUAUAAAUUGUGAGACGAAUAUUUUAAACCUUAUUGCUUCAUGAUUUGACAAUGUGGCGUUACAGUAAAUAUUUGCUAAUAAUGGAUUAAUUAGGCUUAAUAAAUUCAUCUCGUAGUUUACAGCGAAAUCUGUAAUUUGUUUUAUUAUUAGUCUACAUUUAAUACUUCAAAAGUAUGUCCGUAUAUCCGAUGUGACACGCUAAAACUUUUCUCCCAUGUAACUAAACAUGCCAUAGUAUGUACGCACACUUGUACAUACUGCAGCCACUAUCUUAAUCACUUUUAAAAGGAUUUGCGUAAAAUUUGUCUCGAAUUUGCGAUCUGCAGAAAUUUUUUUAAAACAAUAACAAAGAUCGAUUGAAUUCUGGAGAGAUUUAAUGCAGCAUUAUUAUUGCCAUUGUCGUCUACUACAGUUAACACUCGCAUAUGCAACUAAAAAUUCAGGCGACUUCUGAUGCCACUGAUGGCGACACCAUCUUGCCAUGGCCACCGGCGAUGCCCCCCGGCGACGGCGGUGGCGGCGGAUCAACCACAACCAUGUCCCUCCUCCGCGCGACGUGCCAGACCAUGUCGGCGAGGUCGCGCGCCGACGACCCGCCGUCCGCCAUCGCCGCCCUGGCCUCCGCCGCGAGCUCCCUCGCCCUCGCGCGCCUCGCCGCCGCCGCCGCCCCGUCGCCCAUCAGCUCCUCCACCGCGCUCGCCACCUCGCCGCUCCGCACCUGCACCGGGGAGUUCACGGCGUCGACGUGCGUGACGGGCACCUUCACGCCGGCGCGGACGCCGGCGCCGAGCACGUCGACGGCGAGGCACUCGUUGAGGAACUGGUCGCCAAAGUGCGGCCAUGUCAGGAGCGGCACGCCAUGGGAGAGCGACUCCACCGUCGAGUUCCAGCCGCAGUGGGUGAGGAAGCCGCCCACCGCCGGGUGCGACAGGAUGGUCACCUGCGGCGCCCACCCGCGGAUGACGAGUCCACGGUCCGCCACCACCCGCGCGUCGAGGCCGGCGGCGGCGGCGGCGUCGGCGUCGGUGUCCUUGGUCACCCAGAUGAACGGCCGGUGCGACGCCUCCAGGCCGGCGGCGAGCUCGGCGGCUUGCGGUGGAUUCAGGCGGGCGAUGCUGCCGAAGCUGACGUAGAGCACGGACGCCGGUGGGCGCGCGUCGAGCCACGAGACGACGCGCGCGGCGUCGACGGCGGCGCGGUUGCCGCGCGCCGCCGUGGCCUCGGCGUCGGCGUCGAGCAGGCAAAGCGGGCCAACCGCCCACACGUUCCGGGCGCCGCCGCCGAGCACCUCCGCGUAGCGGCGGACGAACGCUUCCUCGAAGGCGGCGCAGGUGUUGAACACCAGCCCGUCGGCGGUGGCCUCGGCGUCGAGCGUGUCUUGCCGGUGGCUCUCCAGCCCGGGCCAGUGGAAGAGCCCCAGCGACGACGCCCUGUUCGUCGUCACGGCGCGCGGCGCCGGCAAGUCCGGCACGUCGAACGGCUCAAGGUCGCCGGCGACGCGGUCGUACACGCCGUGCCUCGCCAGGUUAUGCACCGCGAGGAUGUACAGCGCCGACGGGCCAUGGAACACGAGCCGCGGCACGCCGAGCCGCCGCGCGACGCCGGCCGUCCACGGGCUGCACGAGUCGGCGACGACGCAGUCCGGCCGCCGCGGCAGCGCGCGGAGGAACGCCUCGAGCGGCGCGGCGAGCCGCCACACGGCGUCGGUGAACGUCUUGAACAGGCUCAUGUCCGCCACCAUGUCGUAGCUCUCGCACCCGGCGGCGAGCCCCAGCGCCGGCCCGGGGAACUCCAGCACGGAGACGUCGACGGCGAGGCCGGAACGCGCGGCGUGCGCGACGGCCGCCCGGUGGCGCGCGGCCAUGACGGGCGUAAGCACGACGGUGACUCGCGCGCCGCCGCCGCCAUGGCCGGCGAUGAGGCGCGCCAUGUCCAUCAUCGGGAUGACAUGUCCCUGCGCCGGGAGCGGCACGAGCACGAAGUGGAGGGGCGCCGCCGCCAUGGCCACGCUGUCCUCAGAGCUCGCUGGCUUCCGCGAUUUUAUGGGCGGAGAAGACGGGGAUGAGAGCGCCAUGAAUCGCAAGAGGACAGGCGGCGAGAUAGGGGAUGAUCUCACGGCAAUGGCGACGGCGACGGCGACGUGGAUUCGCCGGCGGAGGCGCGGCCACGGGUGCAAGUGAAAUACAAGGUGGCCACGGCUUCCAUGGACGCCACAGAAGUACGUAGGUUUGGUCUCUUAUAUAAAAGAAAUGGAAAAAAAAAAAGCACACUCCCUGUAUUCGUUUAUGGUUGGCACCAGACACUAUUCAUAUUUAAAUUUUAACCGCUCGUUGUUUUUGAAAAAAAUAAAAGGUUAUAAAGACUUGAAAUGAUGUUAUAUUAUUAAAGUGUGUUAUAAAUCUUUUAUUUGUCAUAGGCUAACCAUUUAAAAUUUAUUAGUUUGAAUAGUGAUGGUAGAUUUUUUUUUCUUGAAGAAUUAGGUGUCAUUUUUUAACCAUUAAGAAGAGAACAAAGUUACAAAGGAGAAGAAAAACCUCUCUGCAAGAGCCAAUUACAAACGCACAAGCACAAAGGUAGAAACUAAAGAACGAGUACGUUCAACAUGCAGGCCAUGUAAAAAAAUACCAUUCUCUAAAAAAAAAAGCACCACACACUAUUUAAAUUUAAUAUUUAAUCACUCGUUAUUUUUAAAAAUAAAAGUGUUAACGAUAAAAUUUUUGGUAUGUCCCGAUGUCAUCAUCGGUCUAGAGCUAAUAUCGGCUUCAGAGUCCUAGAUCGGCCGGUGGAAUUAUCAAGUCGCCAAGAUUUGGUUAAGGAAAUUAAUCAAUUAAAGGAAGUUUAUCCAGAAUAGACCGAGUUUAAGGAGGAUACAUCAUGACAGCUUAUUUAUUAAUUAAGAAGAAUCUGUUAAUUUCCUUUUUAUCUUUAGGAAAGUAUGUUUAGUGUCCGAUAAGAACUUUACGUUUUUCCUUUUAUCUUUAGGAAAGUUUGUGUCAUGUCCAAUAAGGACUAGUAUCUACCCAUGGAUACAAUACAACUACUCUCGGUGCAUUGCCAUCCUCUUUUCCAACAUUUUUAUUUAUCAACCGGAGGAACUUGGCACUUGACGCGAGGCUGCAUCGUUUUUCGAUCUCCGGCGAAGGGGUAAGUCCUAUGUUCUGUCGGCCCUGGCAAUUGUAUCGGCUAUAUUGGUGUUGUUCAAGACUGUAUCGCUUCGACCUCUUGGAUCGCUCUGAUUCAGUUGAUAUAUUUGCCUACCUAUUUAUUAUAUAUCUUAGUUAAUCUAAGUUGAUUAUUCAAUUUACUUGUAUCGAUCAGAUCUUUUAUAGGGUUUUGUCGAUAUCGGCUAAAUUAUUUUGUUGAUUUAGAUUAGCUAAAGUAUCCAACAUCCUGAAAAUCAGUCAAACGCUUAAUUGUCUAUUCUUUUUAUACUUAGUGCUGCAUCAAUUGGGUUUGACCUACUAAGUCGUGCUUAGAACAAUAAUCUCUAGCCUGCUGUUUGAUUUCCAAUAAUGGUUUCAUUGGGGUUUUAGCCAAUGAGUUAUCAGGACAUUGCAUCGGUAUACAAGAAUUACAUACAAGUUGGUUUUAGUCGAUUGCAACAAAUGUUUCACUUAUUAUAUAAUAUUGUAAAUUUAAUGACAUCGGACCUCUAGCCGAUAUAUGCUUUAACCUUCGAAUCAACGCUUAUUCUAUCAUAUCAUUAUUUACCGAUUGGUUUCGAUUGGAUUAUAUUAUUGUUUCAUUAUAUUAUCAUCAGCUGAUUGUCUUUAUAUCAUUAUUUACUUAAGUGUCAAAAAUCUACAUUGGACAUAUAGCUAAUCACUCAAAACCCUAUCGACAUCGGCUAGUAUCGACAUCGGUUAGCAUCGACAUCGGCUGGUAUCGCUCCAUCGGCUUGUCGGCCGAUCGACUCUUUGAUCUGCUAUUUAUAUAUCUUGUUAGUUGCAAAAUCAAACUGACAUGCACGCCCACAUCUCAUUAAUAUUUAGGACCUGCACUAGAGCUAAGUAGAUCUCUCAGAUCAUUGUGUUCGUCGAUUUAGUUCGUGCCAACACAGAUCUGGCACCAUCGGCCGAGCACGAAUUUUUCGUCAACAAAAAGUUAUAAAGACUUGAAAUGAUGCCGUAUUAUUAAAUUGUGUUAUAGUACAUCGUAAAUAUAACCAACUUUUAUCUGUCAUAGGUUAACUAUUUAAAAAUUAUUAGUUUAAAUAGUGAUGGUCGAUUUUUUCUCGAAGAAUUAGGUGUCAUUUUUUUAACUAUUAAGAAGAGAAGAAAGUUACAAAGGAGAAGAAAAACCUAUCUGCAAGAGCCAAUUACAAAUGCACAAGCACAAAGCUAAGAAACUAAGGCCUUAUUUAGUUCCCAAUAAAUUUUGCCCAAAAACAUCACAUCAAAUCUUUGAACACAUACAUGGAUCAGCAUUAAAUAUAGAUAAAAAAACAAAUUGCACAGUUUGCAUGGAAAUCACGAGACAAAUCUUUUGAGCCUAAUUAGUCCAUGAUUAACCAUAAGUGAUACAAUAAUCUACAUAUGCUAAUGAUGGAUUAAUUAGGCUUAAUAAAUUCGUUUCGCGGUUUCAUUCGUGUCCGAAAACCUCUCUCGACAUCCGAUCAAACGUCCGAUAUGAUAUAAAAAAAUUCUUUUCGUGAACUAAACACACGUAAAGAAAACAACUGCGAUCAAAACCAACUCUACGAGUAUAGACUGUGUGCCACAAGGACGCUAGAAAAUGCAUAUUAUUGUCCUUUCUAGAACGAUGAAAACCCAGUUCCACCCAUUCAUGUACAAGUUGAUCUUUUAAAAAAAAAUUAUAGUUCUUCUCUCAGAUAUACGCUACAUGGAAGACAUUUUUACAGCGGCUUCUUUUGACGAAGGCACCCACUGAAGAAAUACAAAAUUAUCUUAGCGAAGACUUACAUUUUUACUUUCAGUGGUCAAAAAACUAGGGCUAAAGAAACAUAACACCAUGAAACAAAACCCAAAAGGCAAUUCUAAGAUUGAGAUCAAAAUUUGGUUGUUCCCACGCGUUACGAUCAAUGUUCUAAAUCUCCGGCUAAGGCUUUUAGUGGUUGUACUCUCCCACAGCUAAGAGUAAGAGCAGCUAUAGCUACAGCGAAAGCAUUUAGUGGUUUUCUAAAAUAUAAGAAAAUAUUAAAAAAUUUGACAGAAAUUUGAGCUAAAAAUUGACAUAUCACUUAUUUCGUUGCACAUAGAGUUCAUCACCGAUUCAUACUUCAUAGAUGGAGUUCAUAGUUCCUAACUCAUACUUUCAUAGUUCAUACUAGAUCAUACAAAUACAGGGCACUUGAGUUCAUAGUUAUAAAUUUAACAGUUCAUAGUUGGUAAAAUAUCCUAUGCACAUAAGCUCUCACGUGUACAUACGUGCACACCAACUAACAAAUGUCAAAAAAAAUAUAGAAAAAUUACUUUCAAUAGUAUUAUAUCUAGGGGUAAAAUCUUAACCUCAAAUUUAUUAUAUUUUAGCCAUGAUAGUUUUAAGGUUAUAAUUCUGUCAGAAUUUUAUCUUUUUUUACUCUCUGUGUAGAAUGAAUUUGAAGAUACUACUUUGCACAUAGAUAUAAUACUAUUGGAAGUACAUGUAUGAAUUUUCUAGAAUUUUUUAUGAUAAUUUUUAGUUGGUGUACAUGGUGUGUAUACACGAGGAUCUGUGUGCAUAGGAUAUGUCCCCUUCCUAGUUCACUGUAAACAUAUCACUUGAGUUCUUGACACAAAUAAUAAAUAUUUAAUCACAAGAAGUCAAGAACAUGACCAUUAAUUAACAAAAUAAGAACAACAAGUUCGUAGAUUAGAAUAUUGCAUUCCACUAUUCAGAUUUAGAGGCUGUUCAAAUUGAUGUUAUUUUCAACCAUAACCAUUUUUUGGUAAAGUUAUCAAAAAAAAAGUGUCUACGUUUAGUUUGUUGCCAAAUUUUGCUAAAUGCAUUGUUAAAAUUUGUUAAGGUUUAUUUUGGCUACAAUCUGAACAGGCCCUCAGAGACACAAUGAGACUUAUCAGAAUCGGAGGAUCCCACUGAAACGUCUCCAGCGCCAUUGCCAUCACCAUUUUCUGAGUCAGAUGAUGAAGGUCCAGGCUGCAUUGUAGCAUCAUUCGUCAAAGAGUGCACGCUCUUGAUUUUCUUCUUUCUAGGGCGCACAUGCCUCUUCCUUUUUCAUUGAGCUUGUGAUGAUUCUCCCUGUGAUGCUCCAUCUUGUGGAUCAUGUUCAGCGAGCUCAUUAGAAAGAGGUACGAUAUCACCGCUAAGUGCAGCUAAAUUCGACUAUUUUAGUGGCUAUCUCUGGCUAAAUGCAACUAUUAGCGUCCGAUAAACUAUAGCGUCAAAGUUUGUGUAUCCUAGCUAUUCCCCUCCCCAUCUGCUAUCUCCAGCUAUAGCUCAUUGGCUAGUAUUGAUAACAAAUAAAUAUAAUACUCAUGAAGAUCAAUUAGCCACCUAGUAAUAUGAGCAUCGAAGGAUCAUAAAUAAAUUUUUAAAAAUAAUUAUCCUCAAUUCUGGAAAUUAUAUCCAUGAUCAAAUGGAACCAUUUAGGAUAUGAGUGCAGAACACACAACUACGAUCUACGGCACUACCCAUAAUCCUUUUAUCAGAGUAUAAAUUGGUCAGGGUAUGAAAAAAAAGAGUAAAGGGGAGUUCGGGAGGGCAGCUCAAGAUAGUUUUUUUUUGGCACGCAAAACAAGACAAGUGGUUAAUAAAUGACUGAUCGAGUAUUAAUUAUUACAAACUUAAAAAAAUAAAUUUAUUUAAUUUUUUAAAAAACUUUUGCACAAAACAUACCGUUUAACAAUUCGAGAGAUUUUUCUUUAAGCCCAAACUCACUCUAAGGGCCUAUUUGGGGGAGCUUCUAGCAACUGCAGCUUCUCCUAGAAUCUCCAGUUGCCAGAAGCUUCCCAAACAGUCCAGCUUUUUACCUAGAUUCUAAGAAUCUGUAGUUGUAGAAUCUAGAAAAUAAACUAGAAGCCAGAAGCUGGGUUUCUCACCAGCUAGCUUCUUAGCAGCUCCUUUUCAGAAUCUUAACCUCCCCCAAACAGGCCCUAAGGCUAGGUUCGUUAAUGCAUGUUUACAACUCACUCCCCCUCGUUUUCCGCUCGCACGUUUCCCAAACUGUUAAACGGUGUGUUUUUGCAAAAAUUUUCUACAUGAAAGUUGCUUUAAAAAAUCAUAUGAAUCCAUUUUUCAAAUUUAUUUUAACUAAUACUUAAUUAAUUAUGCGCUAAACGUUGCUUCGAUUUACGUGCUAAGGAGUGAGGGUCAGCCUAAGUACUCAGCCAAAGAAAUUCAAGUCAUAUAUGCUGUGAUUUUAAAACUAAAAUCUCAUUCAUCUCAUCUCCAAAACUAAGACCCAGGAAACCCUAGGCAUAAUAUGGAGACAUAGAGUACUACACCUAACGGAAGUUUUUAUCUGUAGUCUUCAGAAGUCGAAGAAGCUUGGUUGUUUCAUCCUCCAGUUUCUAGCGAGCGACAAGCUGAUCAUGAAUUCCAUCUGCUGAUCUGCUUGCUGUUCAUCAUUCAUUGGCCCAUAGACCAUAGUACGAUGCAUCCAAGAUAUGAUAAUUUGGCUCGGAAAAUAGGACUUUGUACCUGUAAAGAUUGUAGGAUCAUCUGUUCUGUUCUGGAGUUGCUGACGUUUCUUGGUUUUGGUUGGUACCAAAUUUCACACCCAAACUGGAGGAGCAGAGAAGCCUACCAAUUACUACAAGACAAUCUCUUUUCUACUACCUUCCACUACAUCUUUUUCACUGAAUUUGAUGUAUGUGUUCGAUCACUAGUUGAUCUCUUUCUGUACAGAUUGGUUCCCUACAAGACUUAGAAAUCUUGUGGGCAACAAUGAAAAGGACAACCAUGUUCUGAAAGUUUCAUCAGCUUUCUCUAUUUGAUUGGCAUACUCUAGCACAACUCUUCAUGAAUGUCCAGAAAGACUGGAAGUUGAUUUGCGCAAAAUAGCGUGUGCAUGUGUAACCCACAAAUCAUUUACUGAUUGAGAACCAUUUUUGUAUUUGAAUUGUUCACUGCUUUAACCUGAGCUGUUUGUCUGGAUCCUACAUGUGUUCAGCAAAGUUCUUAGGGUACAACAGAAGAAUAAUAUGGGCACAUUUAAAGGAAGAUUUUCAGCAUACUUUUGAAAGGAACAAAAUCAUGUAGCUACACAAAGAAACAUCUAAUUUAGAAUCUUAAGUCCAAGGAUCGAUUCCCUACCUCAAUGAUAUCCAGAGAUUACCAUGCUAUUUUCAAUUAAAGAAAAAGGAGCAGCAGCUGGAACAUGCAUCAAACUCCGCAAAGUAUAACCCACAAAGAAACAAAAAAAAACAGACUUUUUUUUAGAAUAAUCCAAAUUCAAACAUUUUAUUUCGAUAAUCUCUGUUAUGAAAGAAUGCUACUCGCUUCCAAGCAUACUCCAAACCGGUUAUCUUCUGAAGCUAUCCAUACUUAUUUUCAUGAUGGAACCAGUAAAAUCCUGCCAGGAUGACAUUGCUUGCAUAUAGCCAUUCAAGUGUCAGUGUAAAACUGUAGAAAACUUUUUCCCUGAUAAAUUUUUAUAUCAAUCUUGCCCUGAUACCUCACAUUAUGACGAAAUGAUCAAUUGCAACAUUGAUCUUGUUUGUGGAAAUGACACGCACUAGUCUACAUAAGUCAGCAUUUCCAUAAGUUAGCAUUUCCAAGUCCUUAGUAUUGACUGUUCAGUCAACAUAUGUCGACGUUUUUCUAAGAUACUCCCUCCAUCCCAAAAUGUUUGACGCUGUUGACUUUUUUAAAAAUGUUUAAUCGUUCGUCUUAUUCAAAAAAUUUAAGUAAUUAUUAAUUCUUUUCCUAUCAUUAGAUUUAUUGUUAAAUAUACUUUUAUGUAUAUAUAUAGUUUUAUACAUUUCACAAAAGUUUUUGAAUAAGACGAACGGUCAAACAUGUUUAAAAAAGUCAACGGCGUCAAAUAUUUAGGGAAGGAGGGAGUAACUUGGUAGAGAAGGUUGCUCACCUGUCGCUAUUAGAUAAACAAAUGCAAAAAUGUAGCGCAGGUUCCUCUUCUCAUCCAGAACUUCUUUUUUUUUUUAAAAAAAAAAAGAAGAUGUACUAUGCUAUUCCAAAACUGUGAGCUUGCACAGUUGCAUGGUACUACACUAAUAGCAGGAGAAUAUUAUAUUAGCAGUGAUCCAUAGAGGAUUAUGUCAUAGCCACUCUGCAUUAGUCAAGGGGUCAAUGUGUUUAAGUAAAUUGAUCAAGCAAGUUGCAUACCCAUGGGAGAGCAGAAUCCAUAUGCCCACAUAGAUUAUCCAGACACCAAUCUCUUCUUCAUCUCUGCAUUUGGGUAAAGGUUUAGAUAGGUAGCCAUGAACAGCUUAGAUGAUGUUCCAAAGCCACACUUUGUAUUGAUACCAUUCAUGGCACAAGGCCACACCAUCCCCAUGAUUGACAUGGCACAUCUCCUAGCCAAGCAUGGCGCCAUGGUCAGCUUCAUCACCACCCCGGUCAACGCGGCACGGAUUCAAUCCACCAUUGACAGGGCAAGAGAGCUCAACAUCCCAAUCCGGUUUGUUCCCCUCCGGCUCCCCUGUGCCGAGGUAGGAUUGCUCGAUGGUUGCGAGAACGUCGACGAGAUCUUGGAGAAAGACCAGGUGAUGAAGAUGACAGACGCCUAUGGCAUGCUGCACAAGCCUCUGGUGCUGUAUCUCCAAGAGCAGAGCGUCCCACCUUCCUGCAUAGUUUCAGACCUGUGUCAGCCAUGGACAGGAGAUGUAGCAAGAGAGCUUGGGAUCCCCAGGUUGAUGUUCAAUGGCUUCUGCGCCUUCGCCUCGCUCUGCAGGUAAAAUCAGUGAUCUCUCAUCAACAUCAGCUCCUUUCAUCUCAGGCUUACUGAGCAAGCUUGUGUCAAUGUUUUUUCUUUUUUUUUUAUAGAUAAUGGAAAUGGUUUACAUCUCCCGCCUCUGCCGACAGGCACACAACCAAUAAGUUUUUGUGUCAAUGUUCUAGGUAUCUAAUUCAUCAAGAUAAGGUCUUUGAGAAUGUGCCUGAUGGAGAUGAACUCGUUAUCCUCCCUGGAUUCCCUCAUCAUCUUGAGGUAUCAAAGGCAAGGUCACCAGGGAACUUCAACUCACCAGGUUUUGAGAAAUUCCGCACGAAGAUCCUGGACGAGGAACGGAGAGCUGACAGUGUUGUUACUAACAGUUUCUAUGAGCUAGAGCCAUCGUAUGUGGAUUCAUAUCAGAAGAUGAUAGGCAAGAGAGGAAUUUUUUUUAUUUAUAAUUUUUUUUAUUAAAAGUUUUACAAAAAUAAUUUUCCAUUUUGAAAAUUGACGGAAAUGGUCGCCUACCGCCCUCUGGGAGGGCGAUUUUUAAAAAUCGCCCUCCCAGAGGGCGGCGAAAAUGACGUGGCAGACGGCCGUUCGCUCUCGGGCGACGGCCGUCAACGAAAUUUGCAGGCGGCCCCCUUGCCGCCCUCCGCGAGGGCGAUUUUGUACUGUGCGGGGGGCCGCCUGCAAAUGGGCGGCGAGGGGGGGCAUGGAAUUUUGCAGGCGGCCCCCUUGCCGCCCUCCGCUAGGGCGAUUUUGCACUGUACCCUAUAUUUUUUUGUAUAUAAAUAUCAAUAGUUAUCAAAUCUUUUUAUAUUGAAAACUAUACAAGAUUAAAAUCUCCAAGACUGGUAAAAUACAAUUUUAUUAUUUUUUAGGGCAUAUUUAGAAUGUUACCGUACAAAUAUUUUGUUAGUGCCAAAAUAUAAGCAAGUUUUGGCACUACCAAAUAUUUGGUAAGGUAAAAUUGCAUUUGAUCAUAUUUGGUUUGCUGCCAAAAUGUAAAAUUGUAGUGAAGAAUGUUGUACAUAAUCUCAAUUCUAGAUUACGUAUUACCAAUUAAUAGGCUUCCAUUUUCGUGUGUGGUGUGCUAGUGGGAAAGAAGAUAUGAAGAGGUUGCCUUCAGAUUGUCAAUUAUAUAGCGUCGUUUUCACUGCAAUAUAUGUGAACUCAAUGAGAUACAUUAUUCAUUAGAUGUGACAAGACGAUCACGCGUGGGCGUGAUUCACUUUAUGUCAACAGGCAGCGCCGAAAGUUGAUAGUGAUAACUCGAGCUGCCGCUUUUCAUGUGUGCUGUUGUGGACUGUGCGCGCUACUGGAUAUGGCACUACCGUGAAGCGCCGAAAGUGUGUUGUUGUGAGCAUAAGUUGUUCAAGCACCAUAUGAAUGAAAAGAACUACGUAGACGAGACAAACACAAGUAGUACUGCAGUAGUAAUAGCAAAAGUAGUACUGCUUUACAAGUUUGUAAGCCAAAAGAAACGGUCACAUAAGGACUGAAGAGGUAGAACACUACUGACGAGGCCUCUUACCCCUGUCCCUCCUACCCUGCGCCCUAAUGUGCCCCUGGGAGUACGUGAGUCGGUCCGGGGGUACGGCACGGCCAACCCGUCCUGCCUGUACAGGUGUGACCUCUGGCUGCUCCUGAGUGUGCGCCUCUGGAGCUCCUCCAAGCUGAGAGGAGCCUAGUACGUCCUGGUGGUCUGCACCGUGCAAGUCGUCGUCGUAGAACUGGCUAGUAGGACCAGUCCUACCGGCGUGAGACGAAGAGGCCCCAGUACCGAAGAUCCCGGCUGCAUAUCCUGCUGGACAAGGACCAUCAGUUUUGUACAAGUAUUUAACAGUAGUAAUAAAAAGUAAAGUACCGUGUGGGCGAGGGAUCGACGCUCCAUGAGAGGAAGAGCUGGCGAACGCGCCCGAAGAGGUGGCGAACGCCCCUGCGGAGCUCGCGGAAGCGCCGGUCGUGCCUGCGAACGCGCUCGAAGGCAAACGAGGUCCUGCGAUGAGGAAACGUGCAGUUAAAACAUGGUGACACAUUCGUGCAAAAGCUGAAACAAAAAUGAACUAAUAUCUGGGCUGAACUGUACCGUGUGAAACCGGUGCUGUAGGUCGCACUGAUCCGAAGCUAGGGGCGCUCGAAGGCAAACGAGGUCCUGCUCCGACGGUAGGCGCGCGAGGCCGUGGGUGUACCGGACCAGCUGGAGGUACGACGUCCACGGCGCUGCGACAGGAGAAGACGCGCAUGACCGCACGCAUCUUCUCCUGCAUCCGGUCGAAGGUCGCCCUCUGCUCAACGUCAGUCAAGUGCAAACCUCUGUUCAACCUCACCUGGACUGCGGUGAUAUCGGCACUGAUAUCCCGUGCCGCAUCAGCCUAUGCAAGAUGGAAAUAAAAAAUUCAGUAGUUGUCCUAUAUUAUGCAAGAUAAAUGACAUAAUUGUUGGAAGUAAUACAAAUUGGACGUACCGCCACGAAGUAGUCUCGGUCACGGUGCGUGGGAUACGCGUCCGUGACAGCGGCAACGUGCGGCUCUGGGGCGUCUGGAGUGAAGGUCACACGCGCACGAGUGCGAGGAAGGUACCAGCGAAGGUAGUCACGGUAGUUCUCCUCCGUGUGUGGGAAGAGCUCGUUGAUCACCUCCUCUGUAGCUAACACCCAGUCGUCAACGUACUGCUGUACACGUGGAGCCCAAAGUGCGCCUGCUAGCUGUCCCCGUCGAGUCAACCUGUGAAGAGAGGUAAAUUGUAUGGCUCGAUGAUGUAAUUAUCAUAAAAAUUUAGAAAUGAACAAUCCGAACUCACGAGUGGUCGGCAGGGGGGACGGUCGGCUGCACGUUGCCCGGAAACACCUGCCUAAGUCCGAACUGUCUCAUCACACGCUGCGGGCAGUGAGGCUCAACGAAAAUGUCGAACACCAUCGGCAGGAUGGUGAGCCAGUAAGCCUGGUCGCGUGUGCACAAGGACGAAAGUCCUAGCGGUGCUCUCGCAGCGACGGCCUCUUCUGUGUACGGCUCCCAGAUGACGUCGCUCGGCUGGAGACGGUCAAACUCGAACACGAAGUCCGGGUAACCACGUCUCACCUGGACGUGAGCGUAACGACGCUGCAAUAAAAAUGAUCGGAAUUAGACAUGUUAUGUGAAUGAAAAAAAAAGAAGAGGACUUAUAAACUUAUAACGCAGCGAAGUUGCACUAACCCCACGUCGACACCAGUAAGUCCCCAUCGUGGGACCGUCCUCUGGCCACUGCGCGCUGCGACCAACCCCGUAGGGUGCGCUGUCCACCACUGGUCGCCCUAUGGCAAACCUCUCGGCUGCCCAAAGCUGAAGCAACAUAGGGCAGCCAGCGAUGAUCGCUCCCGCGUCAGUCUUCGUGCACGCCUCACAGAGGGCACGGUAGGUGGCUGCUAGCACGGCAGAACCCCAGCUCCACUGCGGCACGUCCUGUGGCUGAGCAUCCGCGAUGGACCGUGCGUAGUGGACCAGCCGGAAGUCCACAGCGUGCCCGUGGGUGCUAGUGAACAUCACCCACCCGAACAACCACAACAGGUACGCCUCAAGGGAGCGUCGGACCGAGUAAUCAUCAGCGUCAGGGUGCAGAAGGUCCGCCUACAGUUAAGAAUGAAAUGUUAGUACAAAACACUCAUCCGGUCGCAAAUAAGCAUGUAUGAUAAUGACAACUUACUUACUUACAGUGAACUGUAGCAACCAAGCCUUGCUAGGCCCGACUGUAGAGUACGGAGGAAGGGUGGUGGUCGGUCCUAGGUGUGGAAGGCGCAUCACCUGCUCGAAGCGCGCAGUGAUAUCCUCCUUCCACCCAAAAACACCGUCCACGGGACCAACUGGUGCUCCCGCCAGCGGUAGCCCUAGCAGGUACGACACGUCCUGCAGUGUCGGAGCCAUCUCCCCACAGGGAAGGUGGAACGUGUGCGUCUCAGGUCUCCAGCGGUCUACAAGAGCGGCAAGGAGUGACCGGUCUGCAUCCCACCGCUUCGCUGGGUCACGGUCGUCCGCCGCCGCCUCAACAAGCCUACAAAGUGGUAGAAGGCCUGCCGCACGCAACCUGUAUAGAGCAAACUUCAAACAUAAGUACAACACAAAGCAAAGUUGAGUUGAAAUGUGAACAUACGCGUACCAAGGAACGUGACGGGGGUCGACACGCAACCACUCGCGCGACGUGCGUGGACGGAAGGUGCCGAGCUGUGCAGCCUCGACUGCUGACAGGAACGAGCGGUGGUUCCUGUCAAUCCCACGGUUCAACAGCGCCGGUGUGUCGUACACCAUACCUGCAUCAAAUAGGUUGAUCAGAAACAUAUAAAUAAUUAUGUCAACAUAAGUAAUAAAUGUUCAUAAGCGAAUUACUAACACAUAUUAAACAAGAGUACAAACAAACAAAAGUGUUUAGUCCGAACACUCAUCACGAUAACAUUAUGAUACAACACCGAAUAGUUCGCAAUACUACUAGUACAACAAUAGUCGGAGGUACUCAUUACAACAACAUUGAAUUGAAAUUACACGAUACAAGUAUUUAGUCCGAACACUCAUUACAUCACAACAGCAUUUUAUUUCCUAAAUUGAAAGCAUUGUUACACCAUGGAAUCGCCUGCUGCGCGACGACGCCUUGGCCUUACGCGCCUGCUUGUUGUUCCUUCACCAGGUGGUCGCCUACCAUCACUUGCCUGUCCAGAUGGACUAGCAUCUGCGCCGCUUGGAACUUCUGCAUUUUUCGGGCAUUUCUUGUAAGUAUGGCCGCGCAGAUCACACUUGCUGCAGCGUAAAGUCCUCCCACCUGCUUCUGACUCAUCCAUAUCAUUUCUGAUGCGUCUAGUUUGGCGUCGACCCUUUUUCACCCUUAACUUAGAUGGAUCUGGAAUAUAAAAAACUUGGGCACUCAGCGUUGUGUAAGAUCCUGAGAUCCCGAACCCAUAUAUCUCCUCACUCCAUGUAUGAAAGAUUGCUUCUUUCCUGAAAUAAUUUGAGACGUACACAUUGGGAGAUAUGCCACAAUCACCGGCAGCAGCAAGAACGUGUGAGCAAGGAAGGUGAUGAAGCUUCGGCUUCAUACAACUGCAGGUACAUCCACCAUCCGCCUUCAAGACACAUUCCUGCACGGCUUGCUUGCGAUAGAUACCACGCCUGCUCCUAUCAACACACAUUAUUUCAUACCGAUGCACUUGUGUGCCUUGAGCAACAACUCUAUGUCUCCGUGCCUUUUUGAUUUUAUCUUCCAUGUACUUUGUCACUACGUUGCCAAACACUAUGUUGUUAUCGGCCAUGGACGGACCAAUUUUCUUGUAUCGAUCCCUAAAGUAGUCUUGCGUGCCGUGAAGGAUGAAUUCAACAAUAGCAACCAAUGGAAGUACCCGAACUCCUCGCAUUACCCAGUUGUACACCUCUGCCAAAUUGGUUGUCAUUAUGCCAUACCGAGAUCCAUCGGUGUCGAACAAUAGAGACCACUUCUCCUUAGGCUCAUUCUCAAUCCACUGACUGAAAUUUCUGAUAGACGACCCUGACCUCCUUCUCAUUGUUGGUGGGUCAUCAUGUAAUGCACCAAGAGGUAUGGGAGGCUCGUCACCUUCAACUUGUGGUCUGCGAGAUUGCUCAUCUGUUUGCUUCGUUGUCAACUCAUCCAACUUGUCCCACAACUCAUUAAAUUUCUUCUCUUGGUUCUGUGCACAGAGCCUCUUAAAGAGCUCCAUAAGAUGCUUGUUCUUGAAUUGCUUGUAGAAAUUUGCACCCAUGUGACGCAUGCACCACCGACUCCAAACAUCAGGCCACUUAGCUGGAAGUCCCUUCUCAUCCCAACCGUUCUGCAAGUAGUCAAUAGCCCGCAACAUACCCGCAUGACGAUCAUGUAUAAGGCAAACGUUGGGCCUCAUACGCACCACUGCAAUGUGCACUCUCUCUAGGAACCAGUACCAGCUUUCAGUGUUCUCACUCUCUACAAAUGCAAAAGCCAUAGGUAGAACCUGGUUGUUCCCAUCACACCCAAUUGCUGUCAAUAUCUGACCUCGGUAUUUACCUGUCAUAAACGUUCCAUCUAUGCAUAGAACAGGUCGACAAUGCACAAAAGCAUUGAUGCAAGCACCCAAUGAGAAAAAGGCUCUUUGCAGCACACUCUUUGUUCGAUCAUCAACCGAUGUAAAUGUAUGUAGGUCAUAGUAAGUAUUAUUAUUCCUCUGGGCAAUUGUGGCUAACAAACGAGGCAAAUUAUCAUAAGAUGCUUCAAAUGUGCCAUACCUCAUCUCAAUGAUCUUUUGUUUGGCUCUCCAGGCCUUUGCAUAGCUUAUGGUGUACUUGAAUUUGUUCUCGAUGUGCCUAAUAAUUGAUUUUGGUUCAAAGCCAAUGUUACCAACAACACUGCUGUACAUCUCACUUGCCACAAAAGCUGAAGUGAUGUUUCGGUGAUACUUCUCCACCCCUUGUAAGUAGCACUUGUGCUCGGUCACAAUGCUAACUUUCCAAUAAUCAUUCCAUUUACCCUUAUAUGCAUGGACACGCCACGGACAAUCUUCCUUCAUGCACCUCACUUCAUACACAUAAUUUGUUGACUUGACCACCCUAAACUCUCUCUGCAAUGAAACUGCCCAAUGCUUCACCGCCUCCUUCAUAUCAUCCUUAUGAGCAUACCUUGCACCCUCAAUUACCUCGUUCUCCUUAUACUCCCAGGGUACAUGAUCACCCUCUGAUAUAACAAGUCCAGAGAAGUCCUCAUUUGCCCAAUCAGUGGCCAUUACAUCACCUUCUUCAUCGGAUGAUGCGUCGUCCUCCGCUUGCUCAUUAUCCGAAUCUUCCCUCUCCAUUUCAUCAACAAUUAUACCGACUCUCUCCCCCUCAUCCGCCAUGCCCAUGGCCUGCUCCUCCCUUGGUUGAUUUUCCUCAUUUUCCAUCGAUGGUCCAACAACAUCCCCUGCAUUGCUAGGACCCUCCACAUCUUCGGUUCGCAUUGAAACAUUUGUAUCUUUCUCUUGUACCGACACAAAUAUAACAAGGGGCCAUGACCGUUCAAAAGCCAUUUCCACAUACCGUCUCCAAGCAGCAGUGCUGUCCAUCGGCAUUAGUUCCCAAAAAUAACCUUCUAUUGCACGACUCACUACAACAGAUACUGACAUUGUGUAGACUUCUUGGUCUAUUCUAAAUCCUCUCAACAACCAACUAUAAAUUGACUGAAAUGUUCUCUCCGCAGGCCUAUCGAUGCCCUUAGAUGUCAUUACAAAAUCUGACAGAUCAACACCAUCUGGACCAAAUCUAAUAUUUCCUUCACCGUGAACUAUCUGAAAUGUGACCUUACUUGACAUUGUGCCUGAUGAAAACAUUAACUGUGUUAACCUCGCAUUUCUGUACUACGCCCUAAGUUACAUUCUCUACAAUAUUGUCCUCUAAAUUUCUAAAAGUACGUUACAUUCUCCAGAUCAAACUAAACUACAUCUUACAAUUAACACUACUGUCUAUGUCUCAAUUCAUACUAUUAUAUUCUAUGCUCUGGAUCUACACAUAUGUGCUGUGUGCUACAGAUGUGCUAAAAUAUAUGGAACUAAAACUAAAACGCAACAUAUAUACUCAAACAUAACAUAUUAGUACAAAUGCAAAACAUGUAUGGGAGCAUACCUGUGAUGAAGUGAGCGAACCAGCAGGGCUUCGCCGCUCCCCUUUUGCUGCCCUCCCCUCUCUCUCUUUCGUUUUUUUUGGAUUUUUAGUGAAUAUAAUGAAAUUUCACAGAGGAGUGACUGGGUUUUAUAGAGGGGGGGGGGGCAAAAAUCGCCCUCCCCCAGGGCGGCAAGGGGGCCGCCUGCAAAAUUCCAUGCCCCCUCGCCGCCCAUUUGCAGGCGGCCCCCCGCACAGUGCAAAAUCGCCCUAGCGGAGGGCGGCAAGGGGGCCGCCUGCAAAAUUCCAUGCCCCCCCUCGCCGCCCAUUUGCAGGCGGCCCCCCGCACAGUACAAAAUCGCCCUCGCGGAGGGCGGCAAGGGGGCCGCCUGCAAAUUUCGUUGACGGCCGUCGCCCGAGAGCGAACGGCCGUCUGCCACGUCAUUUUCGCCGCCCUCUGGGAGGGCGGUAGGCGACUAUUUCCGUCAAUUUUCAAAAUGGAAAAUUAUUUUUGUAAAACUUUUAAUAAAAAAAAUUAUAAAUAAAAAAAAUUCGGCAAGAGAGUAUGGACCAUUGGACCAAUGUUCCUCUGCAAUACUGAUAGAAGCACAAUAGCAGACAGGGGCGCUAAAAGGCAUCAGUUAAUCAAAAGCACUGUAUGGAAUGGAUCGAUUCGAUGCAGAAUGGAUCGGUUCUUUACGUUAGUUUUGGAAGCAUGGCGCGUACUGUAUUUUUGCAGCUUGAGGAGAUUGCACUGGGUUUGGAGGCUUCAAAGAGACCAUUUCUUUGGGUGAUCAAAUCUGACAAUAUGCCUUCUGAGACUGAUAAACUGUUUCUGCCUGAAGGGUUUGAGGAGAGAACAAGAGGCAGAGGUCUCAUAAUACAAGGUUGGGCACCGCAGGCUUUGAUCCUCUCCCAUCCAUCCGUGGGGGGUUUCGUGACGCACUGCGGGUGGAACUCGAAGAUAGAAGGGGUAUCAGCCGGGUUGCCGAUGAUCACAUGGCCACAUUGUGCAGAGCAAUUCCUGAAUGAGGAGCUGAUAAUGAAUGCUCUGAAAGUAGGGUUGGCUGUGGGUGUGCAGAGCAUAACAAACAGGACAAUGAAGGCUCAUGAGAUUUCUGUAGUGAAGAGGGAUCAGAUAGAGAGAGCUGUGGUAGAACUAAUGGGAGAUGAGACAGGUGCAGAGGAGAGAAGAGCAAGAGCUAAGGAACUGAAGGAGAAGGCUAGAAAGGCUAUAGAUGAAGGAUCAUCUUACAACAAUGUAAGGCAGCUGAUUGAAUACAUCUCGAGCAGGGGAACAAGAACAGAUGUUCAGUGAUGUGUUCUUUUAUAUCACCUUUUCUUAUGGGUAAUAUCAGUAUUUUGAUAAGAAUAAAUGGUUCACGUCCAAAUCAGUUGCUUUCUUGUAUGAUGACAUAUCGUUUAUUUGCAAAGUUCAACAUACCAACCUUACGAUUGAAUAUUACUGUCCUUUCUCUAUUAUGCUCCGAUUUGCAUUGAGGUGGAAUAUGACACUCAUUUUGUGCAACUGAUCAACUACUUGAUAAAUUUUAAAGAUAUAACUUGGGUGCAAACUGAGUUAUUAUUGCAUUAAAAUGGAACAGUUAUGAGAGAAACAACAAUAGGAUAACAGAAUUUCUUAACCUUAAUUUGAUUUAUAACUACAAUAGCUCUGCAGUAGCUCAAAAAAGGGCACAAUUUAGCAUAUUAACCAUAAACUGACCCUUAUUCUCUUCUUAUUUCUAAUGCCCACAUACUGUAAGCACAAACAAUGUUCACCAGAAGUGAUUCGAAAAAUCCAGCUGCAUUAUCCAGCGAUUUUGCAUUCUACUUCCCUAAUAAGGACUUGAGUGAUAAAUUGUAAUCAGUUGCAACAUAUCAGUAAAAAUGAAGGAAUUCAGUACUUGUUACUUGUUCUACUGAAGCAAACAAGUAGUCGAUAUGAAACAUUUCAGACAAACUAUAGUAACGAACACAAUGCCACAACAUUUUAGAGACUGACAACAAAAAUGGACUGCUUCAGAUUGUUCUCAAGAACUUCAGGAGAUGCAUUCUAAGACCAUUAUCAAAAGAGAAAGUAGGGAAAAUAGUAGGAAGAAAAGGAACCUGGAAAGGUAACCAAGGUUGAGGAUCAAAUAGAUUAAAGCUAAAAUCUGUCAAAAUGUAAUUUACCUGGUUUAUCUAAGCAGCAGAUCACACAAUUGUUAACAGCUUUUGCAUAUCCUUGAGAACACAACACACUGAGCACUUGGCAGUUGGCACCAGUUUACUAGAUAAGGCAUAUUUACUGCUAAAAAGGUUCAUUCAUCGCAAACUGGAGCACAUUAGAUUAUCAGAUAAUCAUGGGUUUUUCAUUAUGGUCCAGCAUGAUUCCUGUACAGCAUAGUAAAAAAAAAAAUAGUACUACCUAGUAGCUAUACAGCAAUACAAAUUAUCAAAAACUUGUUGGUUUUACCACGGAUAAUUGGUCAUUGGUUACUCAAGCAAUCUUUAUAGACUAAUGUACAACAAAAUAAUUAUUCCAUUAUCUCAUAAAAAAACAAAAAAAAUAUAUUCACAUGUAUGCUAACCUGAUAACAAUAUUGCCUCUCGUUCUGCACUGACGAAUACGGAGGUUAGCAAGUUUUCCAUUUUAUUUAAGAAACAGCAUUUCUUCAUCCUUCUCCAUGAUCUUGAGAAAUUGUAUUUAUACGCAUGAGGUAUAUACAUUGCAGACCGUAGUUGAAAUGCAGUUAUCUUCCAGACUUUUACAGGUCUCAGUCGCACACUACGCUUCAUUGGACUAAGAAAGAGAUCUAUCCAGCUACAAGUCCAAGAAUAUAAAACCAUUGCACAAAAUGGAUCUUCCUUUGGGCUUUGCUCAUGUAUGGCUGUACCCAUUAUUGCUUGUCUAAGCAGCAGAGACAAGCAUGUACAACCUUUGCACCCACACUACUGGUCAAAACUGAUGCACCCCACCUUAUCCUCACAAUCCAGUUUAAGAAGUCACUCUUCACAAUUCACUUAUCUCUGUACUACGACGAACAAAUCGAACCCCCAACAAGCACAUGCCUGAGUCCUGAAGCUAAUGCAGUCUUCCAACAAAUCACUGUCAGUCUUCCGUUAUCAACCAGACCACGGACAUAAAGCCAUGAGAACACCGACCGAAUUUCUCACACAAUCUGCAAUCUGUGAAUCCUAGAUCACCACCUUAUGUAACAUUCCACGCAUCACCUGGCAUUUAGUCAAAUCAAAAUCAAUGGAUUAACCCAGGAUCCAGAGAGAUUACCCAUGCCAUCGCAGAGACAACCUUCCUGCCUAUGAAAUCAGGUUGCACAUGCCCCUCUGUUAAGGAUGCCAGAUUUGCGAUCGGCCUAUGUGUGUCCACCACGGUGAAGUUGUCUGCCUGACCCACCACCCACGUUGAGACCAGCCUGCUGCCUGCCUGAAUGUGGUGUUAACUUUCAUCCAAAUCCACGGAUCACUCGGCUAAUUUGCGGGAAUGCAGCCAGUGUACCGAAUUACCAAUCAGCUCAGCACGACGGCCAUGUCUCUCCCAUCCAGGACACCGUGCUCAGCGCUGCAAGAACGAUUGGCCAGAUUCUGUCAUGCAGUCAUGGCGUCCUCGGCACGGCGGGCACGACGGCGGCCGGGGAGGAGAUCUCAGCAAGGACGACGCGGCAGCGCCGGCGCCAGCUCUCACGCCGCAUCCGCACACCCACACACCGUCGCGGUGGACCCCCCCGGUCCGGUGGGGAAUUCCGUCGAACAGGUCGCGGGCACACGCACGGCGACCGCACCAUCCUCCUCCUCCACCGCCGUUGUGAUCCAAGAAAGAAAGACAAUGAUUGACCGUCAGCUCCGGAUCGCCAACAACAGCUGCAGCUGCAGCUCCAGCAGCAGAAAUGGUGGUGGUGCAGGUGCAGCCCUGAACAGUGAAGCAAGCAAUCACCAUUCACAAGACAACAACAGCAACUCAGCAAGGGGGAAGGAAAGGACCACCGUUCCAUUGUAGCUACAUGGGGGAUGCUGGGCUGCAGCCUUUUGAGCUAGCAUGCAAGGGACCUUACCUUACCUGCUUUUGGCCAUGGUGGUCAGUUGUAGCUAGGGCUAGGCUAGGCCAAACUGCUGCUGCUGCUGACCUCUAAAAGCCAUGGCCAUGGACAUGGACAACAGAGUUAACAGUCUUAUUAGUACUCUCUUCGUUUUCUAAUAGGGGUGUGUUUAGUUAACGCUAAAAUUGAAAGUUUGGUUGAAAUCGAAAUGAUAUGAUGCAAAAGUUGGAAGUUUGUGUGUAGGAAAGCUUUGAUGUGAUAAAAAAGUUAGAAGUUUGAAGAAAUAGUUUGGAACUAAACUUGGUCUAUAUAUGACGCCGUUAACUUUUAAUAUACAUUUAACUAUACGUUUUAUUUAAGAAGUAAAAGUUUAUGUAAGUGUAUAAGAUAUAAACAAUACUUUAAAUUAUUUUAAUGAUAAAACAACUUACAACAAAAUAAAUGAUAAUUACGUUUUUUAAUAAGACGAAUGGUAAAAUGUGUGUCCAAAAAUCAACGAUGGCAUCUACUCCCUCCGUCUCUAAAUAUAAGAGAUUUUAGGUGGAUGGGGCGUAUCCAAACUACGAACCUAGACAUGCUCUUGUCUAGAUUUGUAGUACUAGACUACGUUAUAUCAAACCAAAAUCCCUUAUAUUUAGAGACGGAAGGAGUAUUAAAAAACGGAGAUAGUAUCGCAAACGGGCAGCAUGCAGCAAAGGUCAAGGUGACCAAGAUAUCAGAUCUCCCAUGGAUUAAUUGAUUUCCAUGCUUGCGCUCGUAUUCUAUCAUUGUCCCUUGAUGGCAGUGACUGACAUAUAGGCUAGGGUUUGACAAUACGUCGGUUACUGCAGUAACUAGGUUUAUUACCGUCAGGGUGAAAAAUGGUAACAUCACGAUUGUCCCAUCAAAUUUAAACAAAAUUCAAAAGUAUCCUGAAUUUUGAUGGAUUUUAUCUGUUUUUUCAUGGUUUGCCAUGGUAACCACAUUUAUCGCUAGGGUGUAGUAACCUAGACCAAGAUAAUAAUGUACUCCCUCCGUACUCGUAAAGGAAGUCAUUUAGAGUAAUGUUUAAGUCAAACAUUAGGAAUAUAAAUUAUGAAUAACUCUCAAGUUGUUGAGUUUGAAAAUAUAAAAAUUAUAUAAAUAGAUUUAUCUUUAAAAAAAAUACUUUCAUAAAAGUAUAUAUAUAUAUAUAUAUAUAUAUUACUUUUUAAUAAAUAUUUUUAUAGAAACAAGAAGUUAAACUUGUGUUUUAGAGACCGUGUUACUGUCCAAAAGGAAGGAAUUUUACAUGUGCUUGUAGAAGGGAAAGUUAUGCUUUUGCCGUGAGGUUGGAUGGCACGAAUAAAACGAUUUAAUUAGCUUCCGUGGGAGUUGAGAAAGCAAUCCAGUGAUUUACAUGAAGUUAAAUUUAUAUGCCAGAAUAAUAGUUAUUGUGGGACUACCACGUGGCAAACAAACAUGUAUUUGAUCGGGCCAUCUCGGUGAGAUGGCUUAGGCUGUGUUUGGCACAUGUAUUCCCAACCCCUCUCCCUCGUUUUCCGCUCGUACGCUUUUCAAACUACUAAACGAUAGGUUUCUCUUAAAAAAAUUCUAUAAAAAAGUUGCUUAAAAAUCAUAUUAAUCCGUUUUCAAGUUAAUUUUAGUUAAUACUUAAUUAAUUAUGCGAUAGCUGUUUCAUUUUUCAUGCCGGAGGGAUAGACUCCCAACCGGCACAAACGAACGAUGCCAAAUUAGUUUUAUUAAAUAUAAAAUUAAAUAUAUUUUGAUAUAAUAUUUGUUUUGUAUUGGAAAUCUUACUGUAUUUUUCUAUAAACUUAAUUAAACUUUAAUAAGUUUGACUAAGAAAAGUCAAACGACUUAUAAUAUAAAACGUAGGGAGUAUCCCCUACUUACAGUGAACGAGUUGUAGUAUACAUUUGACGUAGAAUAUGAAUUGUACUUUUAGUACUAAAAAUAAUAUUGGUGCUUCUUCUACAAUAGGGUUUCAUGUAAAUUAGGUACAGUGAAUGUGUACCAUGGGGGAAAGAGAUUCGCUACUAUUUGGGCGUACCUCACCAUGAGGACGGCCAACAACACAACCAUAUGCAAUCAUGCAACAUGGAGUACUCCCUAAGUCUCCAACACACACUAGUGCACGGCGAGAAAGCCAAAAUAAUGCAUCUUUGUUCCGGUAAAACCACUAGUUACGUACAUAACCAAGCACAACUUUGUUCCUGUUCAGAUUGAUGAUAUUUUCAACCAUAUUAUUAUUUGAUAAAAUUAAUAAUUAUAUGUCUACGUUUACUUUGUUAUCAAAUAUUGGUAAUGUGUAUAUAAUUUUGAUAAUAUUAUUAAGCCAAUCCUAUCAAAAUUUUAGCAAUAUUAUCAACUUAGGUUUAUUUUGGCAUCAAUCUGAACAACUCCAAAUUAAGAGUCGUUAGUUGAGAUCCGGAUAAAACCAAUAGUUACGUACUUAACUAAGCACCACUUUAUUUUUGUUUAUCAAAAUAUUGGAUAGACCUAAGGACAGACCCAGGCCUCGGACCAGAAUGAAAAGUCCACUAUGAAAUAUAGAUUUUUACCAUAUAAAUUAUAGCUUGGCCUAAAGUCCAAUGAGUCAACCCGUCCUUGGAUAGACCAGUCGUCAGUCGAGACUGGGGAAGGUAGGAGGCUAGAAAAUAAUUUAUUUUGAAAUAAAGUUUGAACACUAAAAAUGAAUGAGUCUGUUCAGCUGCUCUACACAACCGUUGCCAUGCCGCAGUCACUGAUAGAAAAUAUUGUAUGUGUUAGCUGCACUACAGUAAAUAUCAGUGCAGCCGAACAGAGCUAAUUUAUUUUAGAACGAAGAAAAUAAGCAUAAUUGUUAUAAGGUUUAUUUAAAACACUAGAAUUUAACGAAAUAUUCAUACCAAGGGGGCUGCAGCAUGUACAUAUAUGAGCAAAACUGGCGAAAGGGUCUGUACCCUAGUGGUUACAAGAGCCUCCGUGGUACCUUAGGUCCUGGGUUCGACUCCCCAUUGGAGCGAAUUUUCUAGAAUUUAACGGCUUUAUGCUUUUAAUGGUAGGCGACGUACCCGUCGACAGCGAGGCGCCUAUGGUGACUUCGUCAAUCUUAAGUAUUUCCUUGGCCCAGUCUUUGAAGAUGCUUAUAAGGGUAAGGUUUGCGUGCGUGUGUUUAUAGGGGUGAGUAUGUGUGCGUUGUGAGUGCCUGCGUUGUACUGUGUAAUUAAAAAAAAAGAAAACAUAUGAGCAAAACUGCAGCCACAGCAUCUGCCGUAAAAGGUAAGGAAGCAGGGGAGCCAAGAAAGAGCCAAAUGUUGGCUGGGAUUGGCGACCAGAUUUACCGAAAAGGUUGCUCCACUUUUCGGUCCCUCUCCUUCACCGUGCCUGUCACCAUCUUUUUGGCAACGCACAUAGGAACAAACUGGCCCAGCUAGAGGCAUGCACACACAUCUACCUGCCAUACGGGCCCACACAUACGUAUACAUUGUACUGCUACAUAAUAUACAUUUAUGUACAACAUUACGAAGUAAAGUGCGAAUAUUUCUUAUUUGUCUACUAUGUCAAGAUCACGCGAUCCUUGUGUAAAUGUCCAUGAUAAUAAAUGGAGAAUAGAGGACAAAUAAGAGAAUUGAUUGCCUUUUAAGGUCGUUCAAUUAACGCAUCAGAAUCUAAACUGUAGUAGUUUUGGUCUAAGUUGUGCUCAAGUGACCAGUACUGGAGGAGCCACCUCUCGGGCAGGUCGGGUGACCUCCGCUAUCUCCACUGUCAAUAGCCGUCGACACUUAUAAAAAUUAAUCGAUCAUUAGAAAAUACUAUUAGUCACCCAGCUGGCUUGACGACGUUGCUAGCUCCACCACUGUAAGUGACAGUCCCAGUUUAGAAAAUAAAAACCUAAGACCCCAAAUGGAAUUGAAGUACUCCUUGAUUGCUUCUCCUGCUCGCUCUUCUUUCUUCCUUUUCUUAUCUCUCCCAAACUCAAAACAAGUUUAUACCUCUCUCACGGGUUAUAGCUAGCAUGCCCUCUUAAACUGCUGCCCUCCUCUUUGAGCAUAUGCUCGUCAUCUCCUCACGCUCAAACCACUUAUUCCCUCCGUUUCAAAAUGUUUGACACCGUUGACUUUUUAGCACAUGUUUGACCAUUCGUCUUAUUCAAAAACUUUUGUGAAAUAUGUAAAAUUAUAUGCCUACAUAAAAAUAUAUUUAAUAAUGAAUCAAAUGAUAGAAAAAGAAUUAAUAAUUACUUAAAUUUUUUGAAUAAGACGAACGGUCAAACAUGUUUAAAAAAAUCAAUGGCGUUAAAUAUUUCGAAACGGAGGGAGUACAAGGCUACCCGCUUAUCAUAGAGAGGCAAUAGUCCGAGCACAAGGGAUGCAAGGAUCCAAGCGCACGAGCAAUUAGGCGGAAGAAUGGAGAAAAGGCAGUGCGUAGUGAGACGGGAGAAAAUUGAACCCUAAAAACCGGUUUAGAGAGAGAGAGGAGGAGAUUUUUCUUUUUUUUCCCUUUUGAUACACUUAUAAAAUGGUAAUGUAAAUAGACUUAUUCCAUGAUUAAUAAAACGCCACAUAUUUCAUGACUAAUCCGAGUAAUAGAGUAACCGAUAUUAACACCAAAGAGGCGGCGGUUGCGUGAUUUUUUUUUGACGGGUUGCAUGAAUUGGUAGCAAGCUAGAGGACAAGUUGCAACUUUAACCGCGGUAACAAAAGGUCAAGGUGUUCAUCAUGCAUGUACCGCAACACGGGAACAGGGCCAGCGACGACUUUUGUGUGAGUUUUUGUGGUGACCAUCCAUGCAUGCAUGAUCAGUGCAUAGCUUGCUGUUUACACCCGUACAUUGUCUGGGUUUAGCUGUCCCUCAAUGAAAACGGUGGUAAAAAUUCCCGACCAACUAAUCAUCAUUACUGUAAAAAUGAAAAUGUACUGUUUUUUGAUAUUUAAUAUGUUAUACUCCCUCCGUUUCACAAUGUAAGUCAUUCUAACAUUUUCCAUAUUCGUAUUGAUGUUAAUGAAAUCAAUACGAAUGUGGAAAAUGCUAGAAUGACUUACAUUGUGAAACGGGGGAGUAAUAUUUAUCAGUGUCGUAGUGAUGUCACUAUUUAAUAGUUGUAUAAUAAAUACUCCAUCCGUCCCAUAAAUAUAAGGGAUUUUGAGUUUUUGCUCGACGGAGGAAGUAUGUGAAAAUUCUCAUACCGAUCACGUAGACAUGAUACCAUUCUCGACCGUUUUCAUCUCGUAGUUGCUUGAUUGAUCUUCGAACUUUAAACUUAGGCUGUGUUUAGUUUACACUGAAAUUUAGAAGUUUGGUUGAAAUUGGUACGAUGUGAUAGAAAGUUGUGUGUAUGAAAGAUUCGAUGUGAUGGAAAGUUGAAAGUUUGGAAAAAAAACUUUGGAACUAAAUAGGGCCUGUGUGGAGUUAAGUAUAUUUAAGGUUAGGGGCAGUAGAAUUUUAACCCUACUGAUCACACGUGUGGUUCUUUUUUCUAACAUUACUUAAAAAGCACAUACUUAUCUAUUACCUGAACUUUAUUCUAAAAUAAAGAAUAUAGCCUUUUUUUUAGUGAUUGUGUUAGUCAAAUGCUCAACUUUUGCAAAACAAAAAAUAAAAUUAGAAAAAAACUCAAUCCUGCUACGCCCCUGUCUCUGCGAGACUGGUGACACUGUCCACUCUGUUGCCUACCGUUGCUCCACACGCCCACCUCUACAAGAAGCUUCAUCACCACCUCAAACACACAAACCUCUCCUCACUCUCACUCGCCCAUGAAGCCGUCGUCGCCGUCGCCGUCGCCGCCGCACGGCGCCGCCGCCGUGAAGCAGCCGGCCUCCUCGCCGGACGCGCGGCUGACGCCUUCCUCGGUUGUCGCCGCCGCCGCUGUUGGCAUAGGUGUGACGCCCCCGCGGCGCAGCUGCGACGACGCGGCGUCGUGCGUCGUCAACGACGUCGACGCGUUCGCGCGCACCAUUGCCAGCAUCAGGUCGAAGCCGGCCUCGGCGGCGGCGGCGGCGGCCUCGUCUUCGUCGGAUGGCGGCGGCGACCACCUCGCCACCGUGCUGGCGCACUACGCGGCCAGGUGGCUCCCCGACGUCGCGUCGUCGCCGUCGGGGAGGUUCCUGCUGCCGCCGCAGAGCCCCACGGCGACGUGGAUCAGGAAGCGCCUCCUGCUCGAGUCCCUCGUCGCCGCGCUCCCGCCCGACGGCGGCGACGGGGACGACGGCGGCGGCGGCGUCACGUGCGACUUCCUGCUCCGCCUCCUCCGCGCCGGGAGCAUGGCCGGGGCCGACGCCGCGCUCCUCGCCGACCUCGAGGCGCGCGCGGCGCGGCGGCUGGACCAGGCCUCGCUCGGCGCCGUCAUGAUCCCGGCGUUCCGCGCCGCCGCCGGUGACGCGCCCGGCGCGGGCGCGACGCUGCUCGACGUGCCGCUCGUGCUCCGCCUCGUGCGCGGCUUCCUCCGCGAGGGCGGCAAGGCGGGCGCCGGCGGCGGCGGCGGCGCGGCGGCCGCCUGCAGGGUGGCGAGGCUGGUGGACGCGUACCUCGCCGAGGCGGCGCUGGAGGCCGGGCUGCGGCCGGCGGAGUUCGAGGAGCUCGCGCGCGCCGUGCCGGCGCACGCCCGCGCCGCCGACGACGGGCUGUACCGCGCCGUCGACACCUACCUCAAGGUGAGUGUGCAUCGAUCGCGCGCCAUGGACACAAUCAUUUACAAUUAUGUCACAAUCUCUCUUUGCCUGGUGAUGAUUAUGUUUUCACGAUGAUUUGAUUAGUUAAAUACUCCCUCCGUAUCAGUUUGUAACAGGAUGUAAGACGUUUUAAGUUUAGCUAAAGUCAACUGCUUUAAGUUUGAUUAAAUUUGUAGAAAAAAGUAGUAACAUUUUUAACCUAAGACAAAUUUAUUAUAAAAAUAUAUUCAAUUAUUUAUUUGAUAAACUAAUGUAGUAUUAUAAAUAUUACUAUAUUUGUCUAUAUUUAUCUAAAAAUUUAGUUAAACUUAAAACUGUUUGACUUUGACUAAAAUUAAAAACGUCUUACAACCUGGAACAAGUGAGCAGUAUUUACAAAUAAUAAUCUUCUGUACAUCGUGGCAGUAUGUUCUGGUAGGAAGAAAUAGGGUCUCGAUCUGGCCGUUAAAGAUCGGUUAAGAAUGCAUCGAUGGCUUUAAUUAUCUUGGAACAUGAUGUCAUGAUGCAUCCAUUUAAUUAACAUGUUAUAUGAUUAGGGUGUUAUCAAUAUCGUAGCAUGUUGGUUUUCUUAAAAAAAAUGGAACACAAAAUCACUAUGCUACAUUUUGUAGGAAAUGCUAGCUUAGCUAAAUUUUUCGUCACAAAUAACAGUGUGAGUGUGUGACGCUAAAUAUUUGAGAAAAAAACACAUUAUAAGUUAAUUACAUAGGACUAGGAGCAAUGUUGCCAACUCUGAUCGUUUGAACUAUGAUUGAUAAGAUGAGGAAAAAAAAUAAAGCAACUAAAACUAAUUACUGGGUAAUUAUUUUUAUAUUAGUGCUAGUAGUGGUUUAAAGUCAAUGAAAAUAUAUUACGAUGAAAAAUUAAAAAAAUAUCUCCAACGUAUUUUUUUUAAAAAAAACCUAAAUUAUAUGAUAAGCUAUAUCAAGUAUUUUAUUUGUCCCAAAAUAUAAUAAUAUAUAAAGUUCAAAAUUAUUCCAAAUAUAACAAUUACCACUUGUAAAAGAUAUUUUUUUAUUACUCCUAAACUACUCAUCCUAUCCCUUAUCUAGUACAGACCUAUCGUAAGAAGAUAAAUAAAUCUUUCUACCCCUCUUAUUUGUAGCCGUGUAAAAAAUUAAAACUUAUUAUAUUUUAACAGAGAGCAAGCUAUAGUAUAUAAAGCAAAUGAAUGAAAAUAAUACAGUACAUGUGGAGAAAAAAAAUUGGGACUGUGGCCCUGUUUAGAUCCCAACUCAAAAUUAAAUUUUUCACCCUAUCACCUCGAACAUUUUAACAUCUAUAUGAAGUAUUAAAUAUAGACUAAAAACAACUAAUUGCACAUAUUGCGACUAAUUUGCGAGACGAAUAUUUUAAACCUAAUUGUUUUAUGAUUUAACAAUAUGGUGCUACAUUAAACAUUUGCUAAUGACAGAUUAAUUAGACUUAAUAAAUUCAUCGCGGUUUACUAACGGAUUCUGUAAUUAGUUUUUUUAUUAGUGUCUAAAUACUCUAUACGACACUCUAUAUAGUAUCUUAAUUGACACGUCAAAACUUUACACCCCUACAUCUUAAACAUCCCUUUAUCUCCAAGAUUCCCAUUUGCAAACCAGGGUGAGCAUGCCAACUUAAGAUAUGAGAUGUGGUGAUUAACCCCUUUUCACCUUGGCAUUGGCUGUCCAUGAUGUGAUAGGCCAAAAAAGAUUUUCCAUGCACGUAUUUCCAUGCAUGGUGCUGGAGGCGAUGUGACUGUGUUGGAAGCAUAUGCGACGGUCGAGGUAAAAAAAAAAGAAUAACCAUGGAAGUAAGAGAGGCCAGUUUCAGGCUCGGUAUGUGUUUCUGCGUGUUUGACCGCACGGUAGUUCAUGUUGGACCAUUCCUAAUCAUCAUUUUGCUCAGGAGUCAGGAGUGUGUUUUUGGUUUUUGUGAUUAAGCUCAAUUACUUUGCGUUGAUACGACGAUUAUUGUUUAAGCCAAUGUUUAAAAUUUGAAAUUAAAUCAGACGUUUCUUUUCCUUUUGUUCACUCGAGUUUGACUCAAGGCCACUUAAGAAUAGAGGUAUAAUUGUAUCCAUUCGAUUCAACUACAUAUAAUUGUGUUUGGGUUUCAUCAUUUGUUUAUUGGUUUUUCGAUCAUAACUAAAAUUUUGAAUUGUAAAACUUAAUUUUAGAGUUGUUUUUGAAGGUUUUAUUUUUUUUAUCGUAGUCUAUUUUCUAAUCUUGUAUUUUAAACCGCUAACAACUCGAAUAUAAAUUUAUCUAUUUCGUGCAUUCGUUUCGGUUUAUCGGUCAUAGCUCAACCGAUCAUGAUCAUCUUAUAGGCCGCAAAGAAAAAAAAGCUUUCUAAACUGACCACUGUUUUUUUUUAAAUAAAUGAGAAUAAAAAUUGUUCCUAUUUGAACAAAACUAUUUCCACUCCCUUUUAUUUUUCUCCCCCUGUGCAUGGAUCCUUCUUUGCUAGUGCUUCACUGCCACUUAUGUCAUUGCUUGAAUAGAAGAGACCAAUGAGAGUAUCAUUCAGCAUCCCAACUCCACACCAACCAAUUUGUAUCGAUCACCAGCAACACACGGUCCAGUCCCAUCGGAGGGCAAAAGUCACUUUGUUUUUUGUCCUAGCAAUUGCCAUGUUUUGGUACACUCUCACCAGCUAAAAUCACACAUGCAGUGCAGUGCAGUGCAGUGUGAUGCUGUUCUGAAGAAAACGGCAGAACACAGAUGUGCUCACGUGAGCUACCUAGCAUCGCUGCUUCAGCUCGAUCAAUCCAAUCCAACUGCUGCAAGUGCUAUGCAACAAGAGAGUUGUUACCCUGCUUGUUGGUUUCAUUCUUGUAGCCUCUCACUUUUUUUUAAAAAAAGAAAACCAAUUUUUGAUAUCGUCAUUUUUAAUAUGUUAGCAUAGAUUUCAUAUGUGCUUAUUAAUUGCUUAUAAAGAUUGGUGUAUGUUUUUGUAGGGAUGGAUGUGUGUGCGUAUAUAUAAGGGUUUGCGUUUGUAAUGUGUUUAAUAGAGAGGGAGAGAGAGCGUGCAUGUUUAAAAUAAUGUGAUAAUCAAAUUUAAUCUAAGUAUCUACUUUAAAAGAGCACAAAAUGUUUUUAAGUGUUAAUGUUAGUGUGAAUUUUCAUGGAUAAUUAAUUGGCAUGUAGAAAUUUAACCUUUGAUGAAAAGAAAACGUAAGUGCUCCUCUGUAAUAUAUAGUAUCUAUUUUACAAGAUUUUGGUUACGAUUUGGUUCAAUUCCUCCAAAAUCCCUUUGAAAUUUCUCCAUUUCAAAAAAAAAGAGAAAAAACUAAGUGGUUGAUUAAUUUGCUGUGUGCAGGCGCACCCGCACGCAGGGAAGGAGGAGAGGCGAUCGCUGUGCCGGCUGAUCGACGCGCGCAAGCUCACGGCGGAGGCGGCGGCGCACGCCGUCCAGAACGAGCGCCUCCCCGUGCGCUGCGUCGUCCAGGUCCUCUUCUCCGAGCACGGCAGCAAGCUCACCCGCCUCGCCGAGUGGACCACCGGCUCCUUCCGCUCCCUCCAGUCCCGCAGCCCCGCCGACCUCAUCGUCACCGGCGGCGGCGCCAAUGGCGGCGCGCGGUGCCCCUCCAAGCGCGAGGUCGCCGCGCAGCACCACGAGCUCCGCCGCCUCCGCGAGGACGUGUCCCGCCUCCAGGUGCAGUGCCACGCGCUGCAGGCGCAGGUGGACAGGCUCAGCUCGGAGCGCCGCCGCCGGCCGGGGGGCCUGUUCAAGCUGCUGUUCGGCGGCGGCGGUGGCGCUGGCGCCACCGGGGCCGUCGUCGUGGACGACUCCGACAGCGGGUUGGACAGGACGCCGCUGAGCGGGAAGAAGGGCGUCGUCGUCCGCGCGACCGCCGCGGCGGCGGCGGCGUCGACGCCGGCGUCGGGCACGCCGGCCGUGGCGAGGUGGCGCAGGUCGCACUCGUGAGAGCGCGGCGUCGCGCGCCAUGUGUGUCGGUAGAGCUGUAACGACCAAGAUCAUCAUCCAAAGACAAGUGUGGUCUUAAUUCUCUGUGUUCGUGAAUUCUUCUUCGUUUCAUGUGCCUUCGAUUGUGAAUUUGUGAUCGAUUCGCUGCUUCUUGGCGCUUGAGGUGAUGAAAUUGAAAUGAACUUGGUUUUCUUUUCUUUCUUUUUUUUUUUGAGAAUUAUACAGUACAACGUAGACACUCACAACGCACGCGCACUCAUCCCUAUGAAUGCACGCACGUAAACCCUAUCCAAUGAGCAUCUUCGAAGACUGGGCUAGCAAAUCCUUGAGAUUAACGAAGUCACCGUAGGCGUCUCGCUGUUGGGUACGUCGUCUUCCACUGAAAGCACAACGCCAUUAAAUCUCUUGUAACCAUUAGGCUAUAGGCCCUUUCGCGAAAUGAACUUGGUUUUUUGUUUGUUUGAGGCAUUCGAUAUAUGUGAUAUAUCCUAUGAGUAUGGAGGCUUCAGCGACCGACGUAAAUGGAUUCUAAAUCUCUUAAAAGUAUAUCCACUCCUGUAUUUUUUUCCCUAAAUUCAAUGUAAAUAGUUAUAUAUAUAUUUUUUGAAAAAAUUGACGAUGUAAAGCAUAGUGACAUCUAACACUCUACACCAAAAGUUAAAUUCAAAUUCGAUCAACACAUUAAAUAAAAAGACAAAUUCUUAUAUGAAUAGUAACAAUACUAUUAAUAUCGGAUCACGACUGAUGAAGUUUGCCUUGGACUUCUGCUAGCGCCUCCGUCAGGGAUAAAGUCAGUUUACAAUUGAGCAGGGUUCAAAAUUCCAGACCGCAAAGACCCCCAUACAAAAUUAUUUCGCUCAAUUUUCUUUUUUGGAAUUUUCCCAAUUUUGAAUAUAGCAAAAUUAUUCAAAUUUGACCAAAUUUUGUUCAGAAAAAUCAAAUUAUUUCGGAUCAAGAUUUCUGCAAUUUCUGAAAUUUCGGUCCGUUCAGUAGAUAGCGAAAAUUGAAAUUUUGAACCUUGCAACUAAGUGCAUUUAUACUCAUCUCUUGCAUAUCGUCCAAAUGGACAUAUAUCUUUUUUAAGAAAAAAAAUUAAUAGCAUAGAAUACAAUGUUACAUAUAACUUUAAGUUACUAUAUUAGAAAACGGAGUGGGGACUUGGAAGAAGAGUAGGAGGGCAUGGUGAGGAGGAACUCAACCUUAGGCCUUAAGUUGUUUAAAAUGCGAUGCGCUGGCAUUCAGCCCGAGCGCUUCACGUCGGUGGUGUGGGGAGAAUCGUUGCCACGAGUGUGUUUGGGCCCACUAGCCUGAAGACCGUGCAUCCAAAGAAGGGCACCUGUUUUUCGGCGUCACCGAGGGCGCGUGGCGCAAGUCACACAGCGCUAUGGAGCUCGUGGCCUCCUCGCCGGUGUUCGCCUCCAAUCCCAAAAUCGCCCUACCACUCGCGCGCACGACGGCUAGGUUUUUCCCUUCCCACUCUUGCCCUACUAUCUCCUGCACGCACGCCAACUCCAUUUUCCCCUUCAUGCGCUCGUCCUUCAUAUCGAUGGACAUUUUAUUUAGAACAUAUCAAAUAUAUUUGACCCAACAUCAAGGGAAGAAAGCCCAAAACAACACACACGGAUCAAUGGAGUUCAAUACCUUAAUCCUUGCAGCUGGGGAGGGGGUAGAGGGGCAGGUGUCAGUGGAGCCGCUGCCGCUGGUGGUGGAGCUGGAGGCGACGCAUCAAUUUGGAGAUGGGGAGCAGGGGAGUAAACCCUCCCUCUCAGAUGGAGCUUCAUGGUCGCGACACUGAGGGUGGAAGGUGAUGCAGCGAUGCGAAGAAAGGCGAUGAAGAGGCUCGAUGAUAAUAAAGAGAGAGUCGGAUGUCGGGGUAGUUGGGGAAUAUAUUUCCUUUUGCUAUUGGGUCACUUUACCUGGGACACAAGUACUGUAGGCUAAGUUUCUAUCAUAUGUCUUUGAUUUGUUUGGACUCUAUUGAAUUUCGUAUCACGGAUGUUGGUUCAUGCUUUAUGGCAUUUCAACGAGCAAACUAAUCCAAUCCCGCAAAGGAUUGUUCAUGGAACUACUAUCGAAAUUAUGCAGACCAUUUUCCUAGUGUCAUUCUUUUGUUCAUUGCUAUACCAUCAUUUGCUCUGUUAUACUCAAUGGACGGGGUAUUAGUAGAUCCAGCCAUUACUAUCAAAGCUAUUGGACAUCAAUGAUAUUAGAGUGCGCCUCUUAGCGAGGGUGAUUUAAGUGCAACGGAAUGUACCGGUGGUUCGCGAAGCAUAUGGCCUACCGGUCAACUCCCAUUCCCGUCGUCGAGAGACUUAAAAAAAACUAUAGCAUGCCAGAAACGGGGAGGAGUCCACAUGCAUUGUGGAGGCCGUUUCCCACAUCGUUCUUAGGCCUAGCUGGGGACCAGGGCUUCUCAAGUGUAGUAGCUGCACUGCUCUUGCCCUUAGAUAGAGGGCUUAUGAAAUACACUUCGGCCAAGGAAGAGUAGAAUGGAGUGUUGACACGCGUGCAUGAGUUGCUUGAAUCUAAUAUCAAUCUAAAUUAGCCAUCCAAAACUGACCAAAUCAUAGGAGAAAAAAUAUGCAGC